rnacentral:lncRNA from 1 species
CACGCGGCGCUGCCCGGUUCACACACCGCCCAGCGGCACAGGUGGUGUGCGGUGGGUGGUGGAUGGGUCGUGAGGCCAGGGGGGAACUUUGGCUUUGUCCGAUGCGGUUAAUUUUGAGUCGGAUCGAAUUCGUGCAGGACUGCGGGUGCAGUAUGUCCUUUCGCAAUUUCGUUUUUCCCCAUAGAACAAUUCGAACUAGUUUAGCCUGUGGCUCAGUUCCAGAGAGAUUCGGCACAUGUCGAACGUGUAGCUCAAUAUGUAUCGCGCAAUUGCUGUAGUUUGGUCGAUUAAAAACAAAACGCUCCACUCGAGGGAAACAAAAAGCCUUUGACAGUUUGGAAGCAGAACUUGGUUAAGUUUCUGCUCGGAGUGCCGUCGAUGGGCGAGCCAGUUUACAAAGAUUGUGAAAUUUAUUUAUUUUUCUAGGGAAAGAAUGGGAGAUUAUGAACUUCUAUUCUUUUUUAGAACAAUUAUGAACUUCUAUAGGCGGAGCAUCACGCGCGCUGACGAAGAGUUAGCACGGGCCAUGCAUGGGCCUGGGUCCGCCUGACGCAAAAUCUCGUGCUGACAAAGGCGUACGUUGCAGGCCUGCACCGAUUUGGCGGCACUGGACCGGGCCGUGGAUGGCACCACGAGAACAGAGAAAACGAGAGGGUGGGAGCGAAUUCUAUGGGAUGGCGCAGUGGGCCUUAGGCCUAUCCUGAUAGGCCCAGUUCCCAUCAGAAUUCUUCUGUUCUUCCACUAAAGAAAUUUUCAGCGCACACCGUGCUAAAAAAGACUAUCCCUGUCCUCCGACCAUUUGCUGUUACCACCUUCGACGGUUUUUUCCGCCUCCAAUAAUCAACUGGUGUUAGAAAGUGAGGAAAUCACAAAUUAGCGUCCCGCAGGUAUUGUUUAUAAGUUUAAUAAGAGUAUAUUUUCUAUCAACGGAGACGUAUCCUCGUUCAGUAAAUCUUACAAACCUUCGCCGCAUACAAUUGAGUUAAAAACGCACGGGUUCGAUUAAAGGUGGAAAUCACACCAACCACUUGCAAAUUUCUGCACAUAACCCUGUACCGUUGAGUCUCUUCUACCGUUAAGUCUAAGAGACUGGUGGGGUUCUCACUUUUGAUUCGGCUCGUUUUUUUUAAUCCAAUGGCCUGCAAGAAUAAUUUGCACCUAAAUGUAGGUUUUCAUAGGAUACGUCACCUUUCAUCAGGUUGGUAUGUUUUUAAUGAUGAUGUAUCGGCAAUCCACAAAAUAAUAUUCUCUUGGUUUCAUCAUCAUUUGGCGUGAUCUUCACUGUUCAUGGUCUAUUAUAUAUUUAUAUGGAAUCAGUGGUUCUCAUGGCUGUAUUCUUCUAAUUUUGGGCUUAUUUUCAGCGUUUCAACAACGGGUGAACCAUUUGACGGGUUGUGUUGCAAAGAGUAUGUUCCGAGCAAGUAUACGUUCGACGAUGCUAGAUCCUCACUUUCAAGGUGCGCGACUCAUGCGUCUCUUCAAAAUCUCCAUGGAGUCAACUUAGCUUUUGCAAGCUCGAUAUUAUACAAUUUCGUCACGGCAUGCAUGGAAUACCGUCAAAGUCACAAUGGACAUAUCUAGAGACUUUAGAGAAACGAAGCUUUUGGAAUUAUCUGACAUUUUUGUUGCUAUUUAUAAUUUCAAGAGCUUUGAUUUAUUGCAAUUUGUCUAAUGAACCAAUAAAGUUGGCGGAUUUGCUAGGGAUCAGGCGCCUGAGAAAUGAUUUUUCUCAGUCGAUGUGAUACGAUAGAUUUGUAAUAACUAAAUCCAGAUAGAAAGGGUUAGUUGGAGUGGUGGUUUGUGUGUGCUAGACCCUGCAGGAGGUUGCACGUUCGAGUCUUUUGUUCUCGUUUUUCUGUUUCUUUUUUCUACUUUUGGUUUUAAUCAUAAAUUUGUUUCGUUUUUGUCUGAUUUUUAUAUCUCUUGACUUUUCUUUGUUUUCAAGUUUAUAUAUGUGCACUAACUUAAAACAGUAGUAUAGGAUAAUCUGUACAUUUAUUUUAUUUUCUCGCGUCUCGAUUUCUUUUGGACGAGUUGAAAUUCCGUGAAACUUUUAGAUUGCACAUAAAAUUUCAGUGCAAAUUUUAAAAAUUAUAAAAAAUUCACCUGCAAUAAAAUUUCAAGUGCAUUUUUAAAUUUUGAUUUUUGUUACCAUGUGCAAAUUUUGAAAUUGCACAUAAAUUUUCAGUGCAAUUUUAAAAAUUUCCCAACUAUAAGUUUCUCGAUUGCAUGAGAAUUUCAACCGUAAUUUUUUAAAUUGCACAAUGGUUUAUGAUUUUUCCAAUUUCAUUGGAAUUUUAAAGUUUUUGUUUCGGAGCUACAGGAGUGCCUAUGUUGUCCUGGAAAUAAAACUCUUAGCUAAGUCUAAACUACUUUAUGAUUCAGGUGGAACAACACAAACUCAGAAAAAGAAAAAAGAAAGAAAGAAAGAAAAAGAGCGGCCAAAACAAGAUUGAGAAAACUGCAGUAGGCAAAGGACGUCACCGGCAGAGGCCAUGUAAAGGGAGCUGCCGCACCACGUCGUCGCUGUCAAGCGGCGCCGGCGGGGAAGUGCAAGGAGGAGGGCGAGGGCGACGAGAGCAAGGAGGGUCCUGAGAUGGGAGAUUAAAAUCAGGGGAGGUCUAAUAGAGGAGAGGAGACUGCAUGUCACUGAAAUCUGGGGAGUCGCGCCCAGGUUGGGAAAACUCACAAGACACCGCCUCCCCAAAUUAUCUGUUCCCGCAUCGACGAUUUCACCCGAGGAAUAUGUCACGCCUCGCACCUUGAGUUCGGCGUGCACCGAUAACCACGGACAGUGAAAGUGGUUCUCUGUGUAUGCGCCAGUGUCCCUACCCGCAAGAGCUAUGUCUCGUUUUAAGAUCUGUUGGCUGGUGGGUGGAGAGGACGUACGUCACCAAGCGCCUUUACCCCUGUGAUCUGACGUCCAAUUUAGAUCCAGCGGUCAGGACCAAACCAAGGCAAAAAAAAACCACGACCGCUUGACUUCGGUUUCUUCUAGCAUAUGAAAGUUGGUUAGAUCGUAUUUUAGAAAGGGAUAACUAAUUAACUAUAGUAUUUUGGUGGGUCAAGUGUACAAGUGAAAUGGCCUGUAGUAGCAUAUGUUGCUACAGAAUUUCUAUAGAAGUUCAAUGACAAGUGAAACUUAAUUGAUCAGAUUUCUCUUCUUUUAAUAUGUUGUUACAUUACCAGUUUCAGUUGCAAUCUGGUAUACGUGACAAUUUUUCAAAGUAUAUGUGACAUUUUGUUUCCAUCAAUCUGCUUCCGUGGUUACUUAGAACCCAGGCUGUGAGUAGAAAGUAGCUCUGGGACUUGUUUUUGCCUCAGAUGUGUCUCAGCCGCUGGAUCAAGAAUGGACGUCAGAUGGGAGGGGUAAAGGCACCUCGUGAAGUGCAGGAGCAACUUCACCGAAGCGGCGUCGGGACAUGACUAUGCGUGAUGAAUGAACUCUGAAUUCCCCACUUAUCUCUCUGAACUCUCGCCCCCUUCGUCUGAUUCUCACCUCAAUUUCCCCUUAACCUGUGCGAUCCCCUUCCUCUCUAGGUCCGGGGUCGUCACAGAAUAGCAGCCGCGGUGGUCCGGCGGGGUGAUCUCCGGCGUGCAACACCGUUUGAUUUUGAUCAGGCGCGCCUGAUAAGUUGGGAGCGGGGGGUAUGUGAAGAGCAGAGGCGCAUCCUCUCCUCGUUUCAAUCCUCGCUCGGGUUCUCUCUUCAUCCGUGAUCCCUUCUUCUUCGUAAGGCUCUUCUUCUCAGGGCCGAUAUCUGGUGAGCAUCCCCCGCAUUUUCUUUGACUCGCGUGCGAUUCGUUUUUCAGGCACCCCUCGUCUGUGUUGUGCUCUGUUUAGGGUUGGGGAGCUCCAAUGCAUGUUGAUUCUAGUUUUUUUUUGUGUAGGGGUUUGCGGCCAGGAUUGCGGGAUUGUUGUCCCCCACUUGCGCACUUGUACUGACUAGGAGUAGUUAUACUUACUGAAGAUUGUUUUUGGUUUCGGUUCUGCAUGCAUGUUGUGAGCUAUUGCGCCAGCUGGAUGAUAUCUAAGUAGAGAUUCUAGGUAGUUUUUCUUUUUUAUAUAUGUAGGCUUGUUGGAUGAUGUUGGUCUCAUGUGUGUGUCCCCCCCUAAGAACUACCAUGCUUGUACUGAAGUUAGUGGCUGAAGUUUUUGCUCUGGCAUGUUUGUACUGAGAAGUUAGUUUUCUGAAGCUGUCCUUUCUGAAGAUUUGUGUGCUCUAUUAUGCUUUGUGCUGGAUAAAUUUUGCAAGAUUUUUGUCAUACCAUCUGUUAAAUGGGGUAUGUAAUUUUCUGUACAUACUGCUCUAGCAUUUUCCUUACUGGCUUUGCAAUAUUGUAGAUUUUCUAGUGUGUUUUAAUGGCUAUGGAAUUUAUGCAUGUCAUUUUAUUCUAGCAUGAGUUUAUUUUGGCAUGUAACUUCCAUAUUUUUUUCCUUGAUGGUAUGUAAUCUCUUAUCUAAUUGCAUAUAACUUCUAGGUUCUGCUUUGCGGCACUGUUUCUAGGGUCUUCAUCAUGUGUUACUUGCAUAUAAACUCUGGUCCCUUUUUUUGCAGCAACAUGAGUACACCAUUGAACAUUGCAAAGUCAGGGCACCCCAAACUAAAGAAGUUGAGGCAAUGGCUAGCGAUGAAUGCAAAGGAUGAUGUUAAGGGGAAGGUUUGUGUUGAUGAGCCUGCUGAACUACCAAAAGUUGGCAGGAGGUAUGAGGUACUGGAGUUUAUAUGCUAUUAAUUUUUUUCAUUUCAUAUGUGUAUUUUGUGGCUUCUUUUGUUACAUGUUGUUUCUUCUUUUCAAAUUGGCAGUUCAAUCGUUCAUCCCCAAUGAAACUUGUUAGAUUGUCUAAAUCAUUUAACAACGAUCAGAAGGAAUUAAUAAGCAAAUCUGGUUUUGGAAGUUUUGUUUCUGCAAACAUUUCCGAGUUACACCCAGAGGUGUGCAAAUACUUGAUGGAUUCCUUCAAUCCGGAUUCCUGCGAGCUUGGGUUCAAUGAUCGCGGAAGCUUACCCAUCAAGGAGGAGGCGGUUCACAGAGUUCUUGAGGUUCCAAUGGGGAAGAAUGCAGUCAAGUACUACAUUGACACGGAAGUGAGCAAAGUGGUGUUUGACAUGCUGCAAAUAAAAGAUGGGAAACCCCGAAGCUUUCAAAUUUGGAGAAGAAGUUGUCCAGCAUGCAAUCUGCUGAUGAAUCUUUCAUGAGGCUGUGGUUGUUGUAUGCGAUGUGUUCUGUGAUGGCUCCAACCACAGGGACAAUGGUCAGCCCAAGGUGCUACCCGGCAAUACUGGAUAUUGAAGGGAUACGUGAUCUGAAUUGGUGCCUAUUUAUUGUGGAUGUGCUAAUAAAGACAGCGAGAGCAAAGGAUAAGAACAUGUUCGAGGCAUCUAUGCCUUUCCUUAUGGUAAGUAUAAUUUUGCCGAGGUUUUUCUUAGAAGGUUCAGCAAUGCCUUUUGUUUCUGCAAUUUGUAGUAAGGUUAGGUUUUCAUUGAUAUAGAUACUAGUUUCACCUGUUCUUAUAUUCUUUUUGCAUGAAUAAUUGAAAUGUAACUUAAAGUGUUUUUUCUUAAAUCCAUGCAUGUACUAAGUUUUACAUAUAGAUGUAAGUUUCACCUGUUCUUACAUUCUUUUUACUGAAUAAUUGAAUGUAACUUAGUACUUUUUCUUAAAUCCAUGUGUGUACUAAUUUUUGCAUAGAUGUAAGUUUCACCUUACAUUCUUUUUACUGAAUAAUUGAAUGUAACUUAGUGCUUUUUUCUUAAAUCCAUGUGUGUACCUAGAUGUAAGUUUCACCUAUUCUUACAUUCUGCACUUAAUGUUUGGAUGUAACCUUGUGCUUCUUAUUACAUCUAUGUGUGCAGCAUUUUUCCCUUGACGCUUUUACAUUUUUUAGUGAUUCUUAUUACAUCUGUUCUUGCAUCCUUCGCUGAAUUUCUGGAUGUAACUUAGUGAUUCUUAUUACAUCCAUGUGUGCAGUAACAAUGCAACAUUCUGUUUCUUUUUUCUGGUUGCAGAUUUUCUACGUCGACUCGCUUGACUUUAAAUCAGAGGAACUUAAAAAGAAGGGGCCCUGAAUAUGUGUUUGGUCCGACAAAUUGGUCCGGAUGGCAGUGAAUUUAGACAAGGACAGUGAUGGUAGCUUUGGGAUGUUACCGGUACUUUGUUUUUAUUUGCCAUAAUACGUGUUUAUCUAACAUGCUUCAGUUUUAUUUUUUUUUGUUCUUUGUUCUUCGUCUAACAUCCAUUCACUGUUUACAGUUGAAGAAAAUAUACCGAAGCCAGUGUUCACUAUUUUGCAACACCACAUCAAAAGUUGACUCUUUCAUCAAGUUUCAUGCUGGAGGCAAUUUGGGAGAGCAAGUAAGAUUUUAUAUGAAUUGAUAUGUAUAAAUUAUUACAUUGGUUUUCAUUUACGGGAUUUGUAAAAUCCACCUUUCUUACAUUUUUUUUUGCUUUAAUGUUUGAUUCUUUUUUGAAAACAGGAUAUAUCAACGUACAGAUCCACCGUCACCGCUGUCAUUGGUAUGUGCAAGGAUUUUGAGUUCGAGCUGGGACAAUUUAUCAAGAAAUGGUCCAGCGGCAAGGAAGAUGGAGAGCCUUCAAAUCAGCACGGAGCAGCAAGAUCUGAAAAGAGGAAAAGGGAAGGUUUAUCUGAUAGAACUGAUGUUCAUGUUGAGCCGAAAGAGUUUAAAGAGAUCACGCAGCAGCAAAAGAAUCCUCACGAUGCCGACAGUUCUGACUUUGAAGAAGGGAAAUUACAGAGGAGGUGCCGGAAGCGCAGAAUCGUGGUGCCUGAUGUUGCAGACUGUGGGUAAUGAAACCGACCAGCGUUUCCUUAUCAGCGUUUCUAGUGAUUUUUCCUUAUCAGCGUUUCUAGUGAUUUUUAAGCAAGUCUUUUCAUGAAGCAACAUUUUGUUACUAUAUUUUUGUUGUACUAAUUGUUGUACUUUUGGUCAUAAUUAUUGUCAGGCAUUUGUUGCCAUCUAUGCUUCUUUAGGGGGUUUGAGCAGCAGUAAAUGCCAAAAUCCAUCAUAUAUAGCAACUUCUGACAAGAGUUUAGCUGCAAGUUGCAUAUCCAUCAAGCAACUAUUUUCAACAUGCAACUAUAUCCAUAUCAAGCAACUUCUAAUAUGGGAAGGAACCAUCUAUGAGUUACUUUUCUUUUGGUAAACAUAAACAUCCCGGCUGCUGUAAAGUCACCUUCACGUAAAGCAACUAUAUCCAUAUCAAGCAGACUCUAACAUAGGAAUCAUCUAUGUGUUGCUUUUUUUGGUAAACAUGCCGGCUGCAGCAAAGUUACCUUUACAUAUAGCAAUUGUACCCAUAUCAAAGCACCUUCUCAUCUAUGAGUUGCUUCCUUCGUUUUAAGUAAAAGUUGCUUCUGAGCUUUAAUUUUGACUUAGAAGUUGCAUUCCUAAGAAGUAUAGUUACAUCAUGUUAAUUGCUAGGACAUAGAUGUCUUCUCCCUAUUUUUAAAUUGAAGGAAUCAGCAAUUUUCAUUUCCCCCGUUGUAAAUCCAAGCAACAUUUAAUCUAUAGUUGCUAAAACAUAAACACAAUUCUGUCUCUAUACUUGCGAGGGGCAUAGAUCCCUCCUCCCAAGUUUCAAGUCAGUAUCUAAUCGAAUACUUUUCCACACACCCCUCGCCAGCAAGUUUGUAGUACUUGUAAUCUGUAAUUACGUGCUUAUACCAUUUAAUACUUACCUCAUGCAUAGCUUCUAUGCAUACAUGUUGCCAGGGGCAUAAAAUGCCUACUCCCCUAUAUUCAAGUCAGCAGUACUACCAACAUCUAACCAAAUACUUGACAGGCACACAUGUACAUCUCAAAGGGGCAAAUUAGUGUACUGUAUAUUAUUUUGGUUGGCACAUAGGAUAACCGUUCAUUAUUAGUUGCUCCACCCUACAUAUACAUUAUGGGAUUCACCAACAUCACCCUUCUUUUGUGGUGCAUCUUUGCUUGGCAUUGUCUGGGUGCAGUACGACGGUGACCAAGAUGUUACAUAUUAUUCAAUACCAGCGUCAGAUUUAGGUCGAUACGCAACUCUUUAAGGUCCAGCCCAUCCAUCUGCAUCAUAACAAUAACAUGCAGUCAUUUUUUUGUACAGUUUCCGGGGUUUUUUUUUAUGCUCAUCCUGAGUGCAUGAGAAGUUGCAAAUCAUAAUUGUGUCUUAUUUUUUAAACAGGAGCUUUUAUCAAGCAAUUAGUGGAAUGUACGACAAACAAGAGGGCAAAUCUUGUCAGAUUAGGAAGCAAAAAACAGGGGGUGGAAACUGACAUACUGAAGCAAAAAAACAGGAACUGCUGUUUUUCAGGGGAUGCAGCAUGAAUGACAGUCCAAAGUUGCCUUUUUACAUGUUUUUUAUGUGUUUCUGUUGAUGAAAACUGGUUUCUGGAGGCAUGCCCAGUUGUUUUCCUUACCCAAAUUUCAAUUAUGGAAUGAGGCUCAUGGAUACAUGCAAUAAAUUAGCAAAAACAGAAGGGGAUAUGAUGCCGUGUCAGGCUUUUAUGAAGCAAAUUUAGAGGGGCCAAACCAUAACCUUAAGCACUUAUAUUUGUUCUUUAUUUUUUAGGGGUUCUUUAUUCUGAUCAACAUAUUGCUUGUGAGUAGGGUGGGAAGAAGUGCUAUACUUCAGGGUAUAAAGCACAAGUUAGUUCUAUAAUGCCUGCAACAAUUCCAGGGGAAGGGGGCAACUUCUUCUUCGUCAAGCAGGAUUCACUCAUGGAGGCAACAAGGAGACAGGAGGGGGUGAUUAGGGAAGAUACGAGACCUGGGAGAAGAUGGAUCUGGGAGGGGGAUAGAGAGGGCAGAGUUGGGGUGCUUUUUGUUUGUCUUUUGCUUUUUUUCUUCACUUGUAUGCUUGUCAAAGGGGCGAGUUUUAUCGCUGGCUCAAGCGGUCAAGCCUGCCGCCAGGUGAAACGGUAGCCUGACGCUACAAAACAGCGUGUUAGGGGGCGGCGACGGGGCGGACGCGCGACUGGUAAAGCGAGGACCGGAAAUUGCUAGUCCGUAUGAUACUAAAUUGUUGACUCAAAUUUGUUCAAAUAUGGAUGUAUCUAUUCUUAAAAAACGUCUAGAUACAUGUAAUAUUUCGACAACAAUUUAGACCGGAGUGAGUAUUUUAGAAAAGGAAGGACCUUGCUUACCAUAUUUGGAUGUGCGUCCUGGGGCACCUAAUAGUGCACGGCCACCCCUAGCACCGUCCUUUAUUUUUAUUAGAUUCUUAAAAAGUGAUCUAGAAAAAUAGAAAUAAAAAAGAAACAACUGAAUAUAGAAAACGAAUUUGCUGGUUUCGUGGUUGGUGUUUAGCUUCGUUAUGGUUUGCAUGCAUAGGUGGGAGGUAAGAUUCACCUGCAGGUCCAUUUUUUCUUUCUUUUUUUUUCUUCUCUACAUUGGUUCAUUUUUACUUUUUAUUGUUUUUCUUCGUUUAAAUUAUAUUUUGUUUUGUCUUUUUUUUAUGCAACUAAUUAAUCAUGCACUUAUUCAUGGGUGAUUUUGAAAAUUGCACGUGAAAUAUUUAUGAGCGAUUCUAAUUGCACCUGAAAUUUUGUGUUUCAUUCUAAAAAUUGCAGCAAGUGAAGUUUUGUGCGUGAUUCUAAAAAACGUGAAAUUUUUAUGCGUGAUUCUAAGUGCACGUGAAAUUUUGUGCCGAUUCUAAAAAUUGUAGGUCAAUUUGUGUGUGAUUCUAGCGAUUCUAAAAAUGCAAAUGAAAUUUUGUGAGCGAAUUCUAAAAAUGCAGGUGAAACUUUGUGCAUGCUUCUAAAAAUUGCACUUGAAAUUUUAUGCAUCAUACUAAAAAUGCAAGUGAUAUUUUGUGCGCCAUUCUAAAAAUUGCGCGUAAAAUUUUGUGCGUGAUUCUUAAAUAUGUAGGCAACAACGUGUAUUUUUUCCAGACGACCAAAGAACGGCCUGCUCAGAGCCUCACACGCACUCACGAGGCCCACAACAGAAAAAAAGCCCACGAGCGGACCUGAUCGGGAGGAUCAAUCGAUCGAUCAGCGUACAGACUCGUCGACUGAGAAACAACUUUUCUCAGUCGUCCGUAGGCACUCCCUAAAGUUGGAGCAUUGUUUGACAAAGAGUGUUUUCUUCUUUUGUUUUAUGUUUUCUUGUUUCUCUUCUUUUUUAUUCGUCUUCAGUCUUUUUUUACAUCAUUUGCUUUUAUGUUUCCUUUCUGACAUGCGUAAACAUUUUUUUUCAGAAUUAUGAACAUUUGUUUUGAAAUACAUGAACUUUCGCGGUGUCGGGGUGGAUGAUUUUGUCCUCUGUGAUUAUCCGUAUGCGUGUGUAAAUGCUACGAUAUGCAACGUGUAAAUGCCAAGAGGAGGAGGAAUACCGAUGACCUUGCGUUUUAACCCCCAAAUCCGUUCGAAUGGAACGCCGAAUAUCCGGAGACGACGCAGCUAUCGUCGCGGCACAUGAGGCCUCCAGGCUCCGUCCGUGUAGCAGUACAUAAUCUACUUGGCAACGACAUAAUGACCCAAGGGAGAUGGAAAACAGAUACCCAGGCACAUGAAGAAAGGCCACACACAUCGACCGGGGAAUAGCGAAGUUGUGGGUGGCGCGAUGACAGGCACUGGCAGCCAUACAAUGGGGGGCUAUCCAAAAUCUCAUCUCUCGCCCAAUCCCGGCCUCACGAUCUCACCUCCUUCCCCCGUGCACCACAAACCCGCGCAACCCCAAUCCACCAGCUGAUAUAUACACUGACGCCCGCCUCGACGUCCUUGAUCUUCCCCUUAUCUGAUCGGAUCCUCGCUUGGACAUGGCGUCGCCCAUGCUCUCCACGGCCAUGGCGCCACUCCAGGUACGUAAUUAAAGCUCGUGUACUGUACGUGUUGUGCUCUGCAAGUAAACUAGACCUGACAAGUUUGUAAUUAGACUGCCAUCAUCUGUUCUGUACAGGGGAGCGGCUUGUUGGAGUUCUCCGGGCUGAGGAGCUCCUCGUCGCUGCCGCUGCGGCGGAAUGCCACCUCGGAGGACUUCAUGUCCGCGGUCUCCUUCAGGACAUACGCGGUACGUGCCUGCUCGAAAUGUGACACUCAUAGCUUAGUUGCAGUGUAGGUGUAUAUAUGAAGCGGCGCCCUACGUGCGUGCGUGCAGGUCGGCACGAGCGGCAGCGGGUCGCGGCGGGCGCCGACGGAGGCGAAGCUGAAGGUGGCGAUCAACGGGUUCGGGCGCAUCGGGCGCAACUUCCUCCGCUGCUGGCACGGGCGCGGCGACAGCUCGCCGCUGGACGUGAUCGCCAUCAACGACACCGGAGGCGUGAAGCAGGCGUCCCACCUGCUCAAGUACGACUCCACGCUGGGCAUCUUCGACGCGGACGUCAAGCCCGUGGGCGACAACGCCAUCUCCGUGGACGGGAAGGUGAUCAAGGUGGUUUCUGACCGGAACCCGUCCAACCUGCCGUGGGGCGAGAUGGGCAUCGACCUCGUCAUCGAGGGCACUGGGGUGUUCGUGGACCGCGACGGCGCCGGCAAGCAUCUCGAGGCCGGCGCCAAGAAGGUGCUCAUCACGGCGCCCGGCAAGGGCGACAUCCCCACCUACGUCGUGGGCGUCAAUGCCGAGCUCUACUCCCACUCCGACACCAUCAUCAGCAACGCCUCCUGCACCACCAACUGCCUCGCCCCCUUCGUCAAGGUCCUCGACCAGAAGUUCGGUAAGUACUUACUCGUAGUAAUAAUAUCUGAAUUCUGAAGUCUGAACUGAACGAAGUUCUUGACGAUUGAUCAAUCAAUGGCGCGCGCGCAGGCAUCAUCAAGGGGACGAUGACGACCACCCACUCGUACACGGGUGACCAGAGGCUGCUGGACGCGAGCCACCGGGACCUGCGCCGGGCCCGUGCGGCCGCGCUCAACAUCGUGCCGACAUCGACCGGCGCGGCCAAGGCCGUGGCGCUGGUGCUGCCGAACCUCAAGGGGAAGCUCAACGGGAUCGCGCUCCGGGUGCCCACCCCGAACGUGUCCGUGGUGGACCUGGUGGUGCAGGUCUCCAAGAAGACCCUGGCCGAGGAAGUGAACGCCGCGUUCCGCGACGCCGCCGCCAACGAGCUCAAGGGCAUCCUCGACGUCUGCGACGAGCCGCUCGUGUCCGUCGACUUCAGGUGCUCCGACGUCUCCUCCACCAUCGACGCCUCGCUCAGCAUGGUCAUGGGCGACGACAUGGUCAAGGUCAUCGCCUGGUACGACAACGAGUGGGGGUACUCGCAGAGGGUCGUCGACCUCGCAGACAUCGUUGCCAACCAAUGGAAGUGAUAUCGAUGAAACGGCAUUGCCCUGUGACUAGCUCCUCUGGAAAUUUUCCCCGGCCGCAUCCUCCUCCGCCGCCUCGGACGAUCGAUUCUUUGUAAUGAGAAUUCGAAGUAUCGAACUCGAUCCCAACAGUUUUUUCUUUUCUUUUCUUUUUUCCUUCUUUCUUUCUCUGAUUUUUCAGUGUCCAGACACGGAUUAUAAUAGACUCCCCACAAAGGGAGUCUCAACGGUGUGCAUCUGUAAUAUAUACUAUCGUUUGCCAGGGUUCUGAUGUAGAAUUCAACUCGCUGAUUCGAACCCUUUUCGAUCAUUUUUUAUCUUUAUUGCAAGCUCAACCUUCUGCGCAUGAUCAGCUAAGAAAGAGCAGUUUGAACCGUGGCCGAAUAUAUAGAAUGAACCGGAAGCGAGACUGACUUCUUCCAAUGCGAAAUUUAACGGAUCAGGCCGUCAGCAGAUUUAUCCUCACAAAAUGACCCACAAGAUUAGAGUUCUCCAUGCAGCACCGAGCCCACUUGGACGAUGUAAUGAACCACUUCCAUAGGUGCCCCAGCUUUUGGUGGAUCGUAUUUUGGCUGGGCUUCAUAGUUCACAUGUUUGUCAUCCUGUAUACCUGCUACCAGUCGCAGUGGGCGAGUGGUCAAGAAUGAAUAUACAGUACUCACAGCUUUGUGAGCAAAAAUCAGUCGCCUACUUUGAAAAAAAAACCCAGUCGCCUGAAAAACAAAAGAAAUCAGUCGCCUGCUAGUUUCAUGCAAAUCAGACACAUAAAGAAAGAAAAGAUUAGCAUAACACACAGUUCUGGUUGGCACAAAACCAGAUGUUUGCUCCUUGGAUAAAUUCACACUCUGACAACUCCAGUGACCAAUUCAGACAAAAAGAGCCCAACAAAACUUUCAUCCUAUCCACAACAACCAAUAGUCGACAAAUACAAAUUAUAUGACAAAUUACAGGUUUGCAGAACCAUGUGCAAUUUAGUAAAAGGAUCAGCAUGCGCAAAAUUCUGUGUUGAUUAAAACCUGCAGAAAUGCACCAUCCUAUCUGAGUGAUAAAUCCAUGGAGUGAACUAAAAAAUCCCUUUGAUCUACAGAAUUUACAAUUUCAACCCCUGGACAAAAUGGGCGUCGUAUCUUAUGAAUCCCUCAUCGAGGUGCACUCCUGCAUCCCACGCAUCGCAGCCAGCCGAUUGCCAUCCUACGCAUGUGUUCAGUUUUACAAAUUUUUACAAUUAAGCGCCCGCUUCCAUCCCUCUAAUUUGCAAAACCAGCCCUGAAUAUUUUUGGCAGGAAUCGAUCAAUCAAUCGUCUUCUCCUGCAAAAAGGCCGCUGGCUCUCUCCACGGCGACGUCGCCGUCACCCCGUGCGCUCCCCCGACCUGCAGAAACGCCCGAACCGCGCACUUGAAAGGAGAAGGAAUUUCGGCCACCUGACACAUACGUUGAGAGGUCUCAUAAAACUGUGGUAAGAUCGAUCUGCUUUGUGCUGCACUGCUCUGUUUUCUCCCGUUCCAAAGCAGAUCAUAUUGCCUAAGGUUUUCAACAUCAUUAUUGGGUAAAACAACAAAAACUACUCUUCAUGUAUACUGUAAUAUAUGUGCUUCUUGUUUCAAAGGUUUAUAAUUACCUGUUGUGCAGCAAUAGAAUCUAACAUGCAAAUACUCAUGAACGAGGAGGGAUUUACUACACCCAUAAACAAAGCAAGAGUUCCUUUAGUUGUAAGUCAAUUCUUUUUACUGAACAUGUCCGUUUUCAGUUCAGUUAUUUAUACAUGAAGGUGCUUAUUGAUUCAUUCUUUACAAUGCAGUGUUCAUCUUUUAUACCUGGAUGUGAACAGAAAUUGAAGCCUAAAGUAGGAAUGACAUUUGAAGGACUAAAGGCUGUGGAGGAGUUCUACAAGUCUUAUGCACAUCACUCUGGUUUUGGAGUUCGUAUUGGACAACAAAGGAAGUUGGACAAUGAGAUAGUUCGUAGUAAACGUUAUAUGCGUAACAGGGAAGGAUUCAAGUCUGAAAAGGGUAAUGAGAUUAUUGAUCCAUCAGUGAAAAGACAUAAGAACACGGCCACAAGAUGUGGUUGUGAUGCACAUAUUUUUGUGAAGUUGUGUGUAACUGACGCCUACAAGAUAGAAUCCUGGGUUGAACACCACAAUCAUAGUCUCAUGUCACCUGAUAAGCAUCAUUUGAUCAGAUCAAAUCGUCAAGUUAGUGAGAGGGCAAAGAAUACACUGUACACAUGCAACAAAGCAAGCAUAGGCACCUGCCAAGCAUACAGGCUCCUCCAAGUCAGCGAGGGUGGAUUUUCAAAUGUUGGAUGCACGAAAAGGGACUUGCAGAACUACUAUCGUGACCUCAGGUAUAAAAUCAGAAAUGCAGAUGCCCAAAUGUUUGUGUCUCAGCUAGCUAGAAAGCAUGAAGCUAAUCCAUCAUUUUUCUAUGAUUUUGUGGUGAGUGAAGAAGGGAAGUUGAUGUAUGUGUUCUGGGUAGAUGCCACAACUAGGAAGAACUACAAGCACUUCGGUUAUGUGGCAUCCUUUGAUUCUACAUAUACUACUAACCAGUAUGACAUGAUCUUUGCACCAUUUACCGGAGUGAAUCAUCACUUACAGAGUGUGUUUUUUGGUGCUGCGUUCUUACUAAAUGAGAAGGCUGAGUCAUAUGUUUGGUUGUUUAAGACCUUCUUGAGGGCAAUUGGAGGUGUAGCACCGAAACUUAUCAUAACCGAUGAAGCUGGUAGCAUCAAGAAUGCUAGUGCUGAAGUUUUUCCAACCACCGCACACAGGUUGUGCAUGUGGCAUAUGAUGGAAAAACUUCCUGAGAAGAUUGGACCGUCGAUUAGAGAAGAAUCUGAAUUUUGGAAGAGAAUGAACGCAUGUGUAUGGGGUUCAGGAACCCCAACCGAGUUUGAGUCACAGUGGAAUUCAGUAAUUUCAGACUUUGGGUUGGAGGACAAUAAGUGGUUAAGUAAAAGGUUUAGCCUUCGAGAGUCAUGGAUACCAGCCUACUUUAUGGCCAUAUCACUAGCGGGCAUUCUUCGAACAACUUCAAGGUCGGAAAGUGCGAAUUCAUUUUUUAACCGUUUCAUUCAUCGCAGGCUCACUUUAGUUGAAUUCUGGCUUAGGUUUGACACGGCUUUAGAAUGCCAACGUCAGGAGGAGUUGAUUGCAGACAAUUCAAGCAUACAUAGGAUCCCCCAAUUAGUUACACCAUGGGCAAUGGAGAAACAUGGUAGUGAAGUAUUCAAAUAUGAGGUGUUUGAGAAAUUUCAGAAACAAAUUAUUGCUUCAAGAGAUCAUUGUUGUGUUCAAGGCAUUGCACAAGAUGAGGGAAUAAAAAUAGUGACCUUCAAAACUGGUGCCAGUAAAGUAAGGGAGGUCCGUUGUGAUACGACAACCACGAUAGCUAAUUGUUCGUGCAAGUUAUUUGAGUCACAUGGAAUCCCAUGCCGCCAUAUUAUCCAAGUGAUGAGGAUUGAAAAUCAAAAUGAGCUUCCAACCUUCUAUAUUAUGGAAAGAUGGCAGAAAAGGUGUAAAAGGUACAAAAAGAAAAUCAUAACCAUCAUUACUCUUAUUUUAUUGCAAACCAUAUGGCUGAGAUCUAAUUUUUUUUUCUAUAGGGAGUGUUUACGAUGAACAAGGGAACCUGCUAGAAGAGAAGCCCACUGACUCCUUGGAUGCCGCUGCGAGGAAGAAGAUUUCAACAAUACGCAACAAGUUAGAAGAUCUAAUUUUAAGAGCCAAGCAAUCAGAUGAAGGCAUGGAGUUUUUAAAGUCGAGUGUGUUCAGCAUUAAGGAGCCCCUGGGCAAAAUGGUUCUUACAGCAGUCAAGCACACUAGGCAAGAGGAAUAUGAGGCAUUUAUUGGGUGCAACAUACCAACUCAGGUCGACAUACACCCACCAAAUGAUGUUCAUUCGGUAGGGAGAUGUAAACGAACAAAGAGAGGAAAGGAGAUGAAUGGAGAAGAACGGAAAAGGAAGAACAAAGAAGCCAAUGCCAAGGUCGCACACUUGUGCAAGACGUGCAAGCAAAUAGCAUUCACGAUAGUCGCAACUGUCCAAGCAAAAAAGGCCAUGGAGAAGAAACCAUGAAUGCGCAAGACAUUCAUCUUAAUGGAUCAUCAUGAUAGCUGCAAGCCUGCUAUUUGUGUCAAUAACACCAUUAUAUUAGUUUACUGAAUGUCUGCAUUUAUAUAAUGGAUGAGAAUUUGUGUUUUUCCCAAUUGAUUAGCUUAUUUGUAUUACACUGAUAUCAGGUUUUAGCAAGUUUACAUAAAGUGCAAAGAUCAGGUUUUAGUAAGCUCACAUAAUCUUGUCAGACUUAUCUUAUUUGUAUCACACUGAUUCAGUACUUUCCAUGGACAACAAUACUCCAGGUUAUUUUAUACAUUGAUUCUUUGGGCUGCUAACUGCUGCUACCAUGCAUCAUGUGCAAACUUUACAACAAACACAUCAGACCAGGAACACCUCAAUUGCUGAUAAGAACAAGCCAAUAAGAAUAUGUUUCCAUCUGAAAUUUCCAUUCACAACAACUUGCAGUCACUUGUUUCUGAAAAUCAAUAUUAAGCAAGAAGAGAGGAGUACAGGGGAGUUACAAAGUGCAGGGAGAGCCUGCAAAUGCUACAGAAGCAGCAUACCAGCCGGAGCUAAAGAGCUACAAGGACCAAAGCUACAAAAUGCUACAGAUGUAGCAUAUUAUCUUCAGUCAAAAACUGAAAACAACCUCAGUUACACCCAACUGAGCAAGAUUACAAAAAAACUUCAGAGAGCUGAAACACAGCCGGCAGUUACACUCUAGGAGUGAAGAUCUCCAGGAGCUUACAAGCUCACAAACCACAUUUGGGAGGAGGUCAAUCUGCUAGUACUAGAUACAUUAAACAAGAACAAGAAAAUUCAGUGAGGUGGUCAUCGUUGCUCUGCAAGGAACCUCAGGCUGUACUUCCUGCCCACGCGAGUCUGCAGUAGGCCGGCAUCGUCAGGUGGAGGGGUCUGGUUGUGCAAGUGAAGCGGCAGGGAAGUUGUGGCUGGCGGCGGCCUUGGCGUCAAGCCCUAGCAAAGUUGCGGACGGGCGGAGGGCCGGCCAGAGACCUGGACAGGGCGGCAGUGAGCGCAGGAGCAAGGUCGUCGGCAGAUCGCUCUGGGGCGAUGACGGAUCUGCUCCGGGUCGACGGCAAUGGCGAGCACGGGGGCAACGGCGACGGCGAGCGCAGUGGAGAGAGCCAUGGGGCUUUUUGCAGGGGAAGACGGGAUUGGUUCCUCCGAAAGUAUGGAGGGCUGGUUUGCAAAGAGGGACGGAAGCGGGCGUUUAAUUGCAAAAAAUUCUAAUAGUGAACACACGCGCACGAUGAAAAUCGGCCUGCUGUGAUGCGUGGGAUGCAGGAGUGCACCUCGAUGAGGGAUUCACAGGAUACGACGCCGACAAAAUGGGGCAAAGUCAGACAAAGAGAUCCCAGACAAGCUUCCCAUUUUCUGGACAGUAACAGAAAAUGCGGACCAGAUUGAGUAUCAGAUUGCGCAUUCAGAAUAGACAAGGUACAAAAAUCUGGGGAUGCAAUUAUAGGUUUGCAGUUCCAGAUUUUGUAAUUUGAAACCAAUGAAAAAUUCAGACAAAAAACAAACCAGCAAAGCUUGCAUGCUCCUGAUAACAACAAAGAAUUGACGAAAAAAUGGGACGCCAAAUUACAGGGUUGCAAUUCGAGUCAAAGGAAAAUGCAAUUGCAUUUCGUAUGACACCCGAUUGCGCAUAGUGAGCUAAGUGCAAAAAAUCAUAUGAAUUCCAGAAAUCGACACAUACGAUUUGAGAAUUACUCUUGUGCAAUUCUAAUGUCUCACAAAUGCACUUGCAACUCAUAUGAAACCUGAUUGCGCAAAGUAAGCUACAUGCCAUUGAGAUACAUUAAAAAGAGGGACGGAUUUUGGGUUCAUUACGCCAAUGAUCCACUGUCAUUUCAUAAAAAUAUUCGAUUGCACAUAGUAAGGUACACACAAUUAAAGAAAGAAAACAGAAAUGCCCAGAAAUCUAUAUCAUUAAACUCAGGAAGGUGCACUUUGUAUCUAAACACAUAAAUCUUGAUUACCAAAUAAGGGCCAAAAAAUAAAUGGAUACACAAAGGCAGAGAUAGCAUAACACAAAAAGGCAAAAUGAAGUGUACCUGUUCAUUGCUGACUCAAGUGGUCCUGUAGCUUCCCUUGUCAAAAGAAUUAGAAAGCAUAACUGCAGCCAUCUAACCGUCAUACAGAUAUAGGGCCCCUGCAUGCCAGAUAAAAACAACACUACACUAGCCAAGUAAAAAUUCCAUAGAAUGAACUCAAAAUGCCAUCAUCUUCAGAAUUUGCAAUUCGAACCUAGGAAAAAUCCAGACAAAAGAUACCAGAAAAGCUUCCAUUGUCUCGACAACAACAAGAGUCAACAAGAAAAAAAAUUGGGCACCAAAUUACAGGUUUGCAAUUCCGGUCAAAGGCAAAUGCAAUUGCGUUUCGUUUGAGAUCCGAUUGCGCAUGGUGAACUAAGGGCAAUUGAGAAAAACAGACAGAUUGGGGCAAGCAUUCAUAAACCGUAGACAAAAAAUAAAUGCAUAUGCAUCUCAUAAAAACACCGACUUGCACAUCGUGUGCUACAUGCAAUACCCAGAUACACUUUUGAACCUUUGAAUUAAGGACCGGCUGAACUAUGGAAUUGGAACUGUAAUUGAAGCUUGCUAACUACCAAGCUAAAAAGUCGUCUGUACAAGCCAACACAAAGUAAUAUCAGGAGAAAAAAAAAGGAGAUAGGAGCAGGAACGGUUGAUGAUGGGCAUGAAUGCUAACCUCAAUGAAUCCCCUCCUUGCACUUGUCUUUGACGUUUUAUGUUGAAACCUUGGUCCAGCCCAGCCACCCUCCAACAAAAAAAAUCGCAAAUACACUGGAAAACUUAUUACUUAUGUUUUCCUACUGUUAACAAUAAGAUAUGGCGAGAACAUAACGAACAGAAGAGCACGAACCUGCUGACACAUAGACACCAUUUCCUAGUGAUCCCCUGCUAAAAAAAAGGGUCCUAAAAACACCGAAAACAAUGAGCAAAUUCAGCUUAACAUGAUUGAAUUAAAAUACACUACAACUGAUCGCAAAAAAUCAGCAAUCAACAGAACCUGAGCUGAUAUAACACACAAUUAUAAGUGAACUGGACACCCAUAUAGCACACACAUAUAACAAUCAAUUGCACAUAAGAGUCGCAUUUUGCAUAUACAGUUAUCUACCACAUGACUAGUGACAUUUAUACAAAGAAACCAAAUUUAAAUUGAAGUGCAUAUCGCUAUCAUACAAAUUGGAACAUAUAUUAGUCAAAUUUACACCUAUACAGAUAUAAGCUACUGGUAAGCUAGCCCAAUGCCUAAUCAGAUUAAUACAAAAUGUAUGAGCCUGAAUAUACACUAUACAUAGAAGAGGUUAGAGCUACACAACAUUACAUAACAGUACUGCAAACAAAGGGGGAGGGGGGGGGGGGGGCAGGUGAACCAUGAAUCAAACACAUGAUAAGCAACCGAAAAUCCAAUACAAGCUCCCACACAACUCUAAAAUUCAGGCUAAAGAGCAUAAGCUUAUAACAAAGCACAACCAGAUCCAAGCUACAGCCUAAUCCACCGAACAACUACACUCUUUCCCAGCCACUAGGGUGCAUAGCCAAAAAUAAUGGUUUCUUAACCUCCUAGAUACAAAUGACAUAAAGACUACUGCUUGCAUCAUGCUCUUGCUUUGGAGAGCUUGGCACCACAAGAAUGAUUUUAUUUUUGACAAGGGUGACUCGUCGAUGAAUUCCUUGGGCAUGUUUCUCUGGUCCUUCCUCCAAACUUCCCUCUCUACAUAUCACCCCCUGUCACGACCACAAAGGCACACAAUUAUAAGUGAACUGGACACCCCUUUUUGAGCACACACCACCAAAUCAACCCAUAAACGUCCAACCUCAACAAUCACCAAUUCGUCUCCGGAGGAAAGAGUUCCAACAGCAAGCACAUGUUAACAAAUCAAACGCCCCAACACAAUGGGAUGGCUGCACACAGACAGAUUGCUGCAUUUUCGAAAAGCAAUUGAAAAAAUAAAUUUAAGGAAUGGCAUGGUACAACAUGUAGACAUAUCAUUUUACAAAAGUGACCAAAAAGGGGUAGGAUUGCCACAAUGCUAGACGAAAUUUUAUUUCAAAAAGAAGCACUCCCUUUUUACACAGCAUAAAGCUAGGGUUGCAAUUAAUUUAGCAAAGUAUCAAAACUGAAUAGAUUCCAUAACUACAAAACAAAGAGAACAUGUAUACAAAUUAAUAUAUGCAAUUGCGGUUUGAAAUAGAUCCUGUUGCAACAAGAGAAGAAGUGCAAUUUUAUUUGAAAGUGGGUGCAAUUUAAAUAGACAUAGGUUUAAUACAAAAGGGACCUAUAGCAAAGGUGAUUUAUAACCUACAAAUUGACACUCAUAAUUACCAAUUACACAACCAACUGACACUUAUACCAGACAAACCCAUAGAAUCAGAAAAAUGGCCAUGAAAGGAAAAUUUACUAUAUUAGUUCCAAAUUACAAAAGGUAAUUACAUUCAGUGGGCAAAACCACAACACAUAAUCAACCCAUAAUACAUGAAAUGGCAAAAUUACUUUCAGCAGCUAAAACACAUCAGUCUGAAUCUGAAUCCCUACUACAGUUAGCCCACGUUGCGAAAGGAUUCAGCCUGCUCUGAAUCACUACAUCACAAACAGCACCACAGACCACAAAAUCAACCCCUGAAUCAAACACCCGACCAGCAAAAAUCAAACACGAAACUGGAGAAUGAAACCCGAAAAUUUCGGCCGGAGAAACUCACCACGCAAAGCGACCAACCUCGUCGCCGACGAGCACUGAUGCAAAAUGACCCGCGAGUCAGCGACAACGCAGGUGAUGCGGGCACGCACGGGUGGUUGCCUCCGUACUCCCGGGCGGCGUGCUGGAGCAACACCGCGAACGUCGGCUGACCCUGGAGCUCGACGCGUACGGCGAAGCUCCACGUGCCCUCCCUCCGCCGACGAACACCGGCUCGUGCCCCUCCGGCACCCGCGCGCCGCCUCGCAGCCUCUUCGCGCCGGAGAAGGAUGACGACGUCGAGUCCACGUAGGCGGUCUUGACCGGAGCAGCUGGGCAGCAGCGGCGCAGGCGUUGGCCGCGGCCACGCGGGAGGUCUGCCCCUGAGCAGGUGCUCCGUGCUGCUCUCCGCUCCCCCCAUCCCUCACCCAGUCACCCCCCCAUCUCCUCCCCGCUCUCCAGAACACAACCGCGAGGAGCCGUGGACGCCCAGCGAAAGACAUAGGCGUUAAACACAAAAAAGAAAGAAAAAAGCUCACCAAACUUCCACUGAUCUCGUGUACAGAUCGCCUGUUUUUUUCAACAAACGCAGGCGCCUCGUGUACAGCAAAACGGCAAAAAUAAUGGGUUCAACUCUAUUUAUUAUAAUGUAAUCUAUUGGGUUUGAGAAAUUCUAUUGGGUUCAUUUUUUUACUGUACCCUGGUACUCUAUAUAGAGAGGUGGAAGUACCAACUAAAUCUGACCAUUGGUUUAGCAGGGUAUUUUAGACCUUUUUCUUUUCUAAUGCAAUUCAAUUUAUUUUUUCUGCCGUGCGGUGCAAAAAGAAACGAAACUGCUUCGUCCUCAAGCCGCCUCUGCCUUUUCCUAAACAGGCGCAUCCCAUGGCGUCAUGGUGGGGCUGGCGGCUUCCUGCUCCGAUCCUCUCCCAUCGUCCUACUCUCUGAUCCUGUCCGAUCCGAUCAGUUGCUUCCUGUCGAUGCAUCUCCCACAGCGCUGCUACCAGUCUGACCGAAGACGGCGCCUCGUUUCUCCUUCUCGCUAGCAUGCCCCGUGAUGUAGAUGGAGUCCACCGCCACCGCCGAUGGCCUCCAUGGCCGAAGCGCAGAAUCUCGACAGCGGGGAAUCCGCCCGCUCAUCCCGUCUCCUCCGCAAUCCUUGGUAGUGGUUGAUGCCGCUGUUGUUUGUCUUCCGUGGACGAAGAUGCAGAGCCACGCCGGCGGCCAUGCGUCGGGUAAUUUGUGCGCUGUGAAGAGGAGUGGGGUUAGUUCACGAAUGAAAAUACAAGGAAGAAAUUCACUCGCGGGAAAAGAAUAACAUAACGUGCCGAUUACAAUUUUGCCAUCUAGAUCCUGGUACUCCAUGACUUUUCGAGUCAAUGCUCCAUUGAAUUGGUGUUGGAGUGCCAGAUCGUAUUAACCGUUAGAUCGAGAUAAUUGGACGGUCUAUAGUAGCUCAGGGGUAUCGUAAAAGAGCUCUCACCUGAACCCAUCACUUCUAUACCAACUGCGCCACGGAGUACUCCCUGCGUUCCUAAAUAGAAGAUGUUGUUCGUAUUAAGUCAAAAUUCUUAAAUUUUGACCAAGUCUAAAACAAAUCUACAAUAUUGAUAACUCUAAUUUUUUUAAUCCGUCAUGAUACAUUUAUUUGAUAUUGUAGAUGUUACUAUAUUUUUCUGUAGAUUUGGUGAAACUCUAUUUUUUGACUUAUGAUAAAACUACAACAUUUCUAUUACAAUAUAUUAAAUUGGAAUCGGUGGUGAUGGGUGGACGCCGUUGGUCGGUGUUGGUCGGUCAAUUUCGUUAAAAUUACAAUCAAUAUGCCACUGCCCCUUAUUUUUUUUCCCUCCCGCCUUAUUCACGAUUUCAAUAGCAGAAAUUCUACGGUUUAGAUUUACCGAAAGUUAUCGUACGGUCCAAAUUUGUCACAAUAUAAUACGAACAGUUCUAAAAUAAAUCAAUCUCCUUAACAUGAAUUCCAAAAAUUUUCGUAUCCAUCUCAGUAUGGAAAUCAAUCCGAACCCAAGCAAAAAAUCUCGAUAUCAAUCUCAGUAUGGAAAUCAAUCCAAUCAAAAAAUCAAUAUCCAGACUUCACCUCCACCGGCUCGUGUUUGAUACACUUUCCGUUGUUCCGUAGCAUCGCAUGGGUUCUUUUGCUAGUUUUACAUUAAUUUAGUAACAAUGUUAGCUUGUACUCAUUGUGGGAUAAAAUAUUGCUGGACUAUAAAAUGCACAGAAGAUGGCGACCUUCCCACUCUUAAAACACCAAACGAAUUCCAAAACAACGUCUACAGCCUCGAAAUUUUACCUCUUCCUCGUAGUCAGUGAUCGCGGACGUUGAGAGUAGAGCAGAGUACGUAGGUCUGGUACGUGGUGAUCACAGCGGCAGAGGGGAGUCCGGGGGGACCUAGGAUAUUAAUUAAGAGGGAGCAAAAAAUUUAAGCAUUUGAAAAUAUUACACAUAAAUUAGAGGAAUGUGGUAAAUGUUUAGUGUUAGAAUUAAAAUAGAGACGAGAACAAAAAUAACUAACCAUCUUAAUUCGUUUCCAUAUUUCAACCUCUAAACUCUUGUUAUCAAUUAAUUAUAAGCAUAUUCACCGCUAUAGGAAGCAGAUUUCUAUAAAGAUUGGUUUUUAUGUUUUAUUUUUUUUAGAGACAUCUGGCUUUAUUAUUUAGUAAAAGUGGCACUCCAUUCGAUGCAUAAUAAGUGUCUGAAAUUUAGUACAAAUCUAUACCAAUUGUAUAUUAAGUUCAAUUCAUUUUAGGGGUGAAGAUUUGUUGGUUUUGACCCCAGAAUUUUUUUUGAGAGGGGUUUUAGCCCCUGAUUAAUCACAUGAAGACACACACCACGAUCACCGGAUCAGGCCAAAAGUCAAAACUCAAUCGAACAAAAUGGAGUCUCAACUUUGCCUCGGGCCCUCAAGAGACCCCAAAAAGGCCAUAAAACCCAUAGCUCAGCCCAGCCCAGCCCAGCGCCAAAGAAGCCCAUAAAUCCUGGAAGAAAGUUCAUCCAUCUGCAAAAAUCACAUCUGCAGAUCUGCUCGUUUUCUUGCCGCUGCUCAAUCUCAUACUCCUCAACGCCUAUCCUCUCCGGCGCCCGACGCUCGACGGUCCCCGCUGAAUGUCCUUCUCCUGUGAAGUCUGAUCCCCUCCCCGGGGGCUUACCACCGGCCACCGGCGCCUGCUUGCUGUUCCCCGACCCGCUAGCUACCGCUAUAGGUAAUUCCAUUGCCUUAAAUCAAUGUAAGGGAAACCAUGGAUUGUUCACUGAUACUGCUCCAAGCAUGUCUCGAUUGAUGUUGAUGCUCUUGCUACUUGGCUUUUGCACAUGUAGUGAAAUUUUUAGGAGAUUUUAUCAACUACUUCCUCAGUUAUAUAUUAAUUGGCACGGAUACUUGUACGAGAUCCGUGUCAAUUAAUAUGGAACGGAGGGGUAGUCACGAAUAAUCCCUCGAUAGGUAUUUCCACAUGUGUGAUAUGUUCAUGGCAUCAUGCGUUGAGAAAGUUGACACUUUACAGUACUCUCUCUGAUCCAUAAAAAAGGUCGCCCAUUUUGUAAUAAGAUACUCCCUCCGACCGGUAUUACUUGUCUCAAAUUUGCCUAAACGUGGAUCUAUCUAUGUGUAGAAAGUGUCUAGAUACAUGUAAACUUUGACAAGUAAUUCCGGCCGGAGGGAGUUGUACAAAUUGUACUAAGUGGAGGACACUUUUAUGGGUCGGAGGGAGUAGCGUUUGUGUGUAUGCGUGUGCUGUUCAGAUGGCCGAGAGUGACAACAUACCACGUCUUAACCAAAUAACCAGCCCCCAUUGUGUACUUGUGUGUGUGUCAUGGAUGCAGCAUGCUUGCUAUUAGGCUAUAUACUGAAUCUAUUUACCGGAAAAUCAAAACCGAUCAUGCUCUUGCUGUUAUGUGCUAUGGCAUUAAAAAAGUGUCGCCCAUUUCUCCGUGAAUGAAUCUUUUAAAUAGGAUUUGCUUCUUGUGUCAUGUGGCAAGAUAUUUAUUUAUUUUAAUGAAGUCGGGAGGGGAGACCCCUACCUGAAUUUAGAUAAAAUGGAGCCAGAGGCUCAAAGUUACAAAGAGCCUGAAACCCGCAAAAGAGAAAAUGAUUACAAGGCAGGACAGAGCAAACACAAGGAAGAAAAGGAGAAAGAAAAAAAGUUGGUGUUUAUCAGGCCAAUCUUCAAUCCAAUGGCUGAGCGCCUGUUUUUCCUUGUUCUUGAAACGGCAAGACCAGAGCUUCAGCGUUUCACAGCAUUGUCUUGCGACCACGACUGGAGGAAUAUUGUGAUGGUCAAACAUAAGAUAUUUACUCAUCAAAUAUAAAAACGAAAUUCAAAUGCUAUCGUCUCAUUUUUGAGUUCUCAACUUUGGUUAGUUUGGUAUCUACUGAAACCAUACCGAAAUGGUUUGGUAUAAUACCAAAACCGAACCAUAUUUACUUUCAUACCGUAUUUACUGAAGUUUUGAUUCCGUAUUUACCGAACUGAAUUAACCGAAUGCACAGUCAUAACACUACCAUGGCCAUGGCCGCUGCUGUCUCUAUCUCCCUCUUCCCUACUCUGGCUGGGCAUCCUCUCGCCAGAAGAACACGUAAAUCUCCAUACUCCCAAUGUGUCGUUUGAGUCAAGCCUCUCUUGGAUGAUGGAUCAUACCUUGGUUUCUGAUCUCUAGCUUCUUUCGCUGGGUUGUACAAGAAGAAGAGAAUGAUUUCGGUGAAGCGGGUCUGCUGCUCUACUGAUGAUGAAGGUUAGUUCAGUGAUGACAGGCUGAGAAAUCCAAAUGCACUUCUUUUUUAUUUAUUUUUCAUAGAAUUAAUAUUUCGUUCAUGCUUUGUUUCCUAAGUAUGUGAGUGCUUAACAUAAAUCCACAAGGUAUUUUAGCUUUAUAUGUUUCGAGUUUUUUCCCAGUUAAUUUUGUGCAAGAGAACUCUUUCAGUGACUCUUAGGAAUAAAUGUGUGCCAGAAGCUCAUGAACUCACAGUGUAAAAACUCGCUAGACAUACGCCAGCUAUGGAACACUAUCUGCACCUGUGAAACAUGAAUUCAGGACAUUGUGCAUUGAACUUUAUUUUGUCUGAAGACGAAGUUGUGCUCUCCCUGCAGUGAACUACAGAAGUAAAAGGACUGACCCCCCCUUCGUGACAAUUUGUGCAUGUUAUGAUUCUGAGAUGAGAAAGUCGAUGAUCUGGGAGUAAACGUAGCACUGUCCAUGCUAAAAUUCUACAAAAGUAAGUCCGAAUUUGCAGUUUGUUGCCUCUUGAUUCCUGAUUGUCUUUUGGACAUCCAUCUUACUACUACUAUGCAGUCAAAAACUAUGCUUUUCAGAGGGAUUAGAUCUGUAUGGUCUGCUCACUGGGUCAAGCUUUAUGUCGACAGGAGAGGUAUCACCCUUACUACCUUCAAGCUGCCGUUAUGUGCCAACAUGCAUCGACUACUCUAUGCAGGCGUAUGAAAGGUAUGGUCUUGCGAAGGGUGCAAUCUUGACAGCGCGGUGUAUGUGCCGUUGUAAUCCUCUUAGUAUGUUUUCUUUCUGUUUGCUUAAUAUUUUCAGCUAUGGAAAACUGACCAUAUCAUAUUUAUGGAACUGAGCACUUUUUUAUCUGAUACACAUGUAGGUGGACAGGGAUAUGAUCCUCCAAGGUGGUUUGGUGGGGAAGAGUUACCUGAGGAAUAAUGACUGGUAAUUACUAGCUAAGCACAUACGCCCAAUGGUGAUGUUACAUACAGUUCAAUAUGGAAUAUAGACAGACUUCAGUUGCAUUGUGUUUUAAGUAAAUGACUAUACAACAACUAAAACAAGAGAAAAACAACGCUGUUAGAUUUCUGCCGUACCAGCAUGCUCAAUGUGCCUGGGUUGAUGGUUACUUCCCUUCCAAUGCGCACUACUUCAUAUUAAAAAAAAUAUUCAAGCACAUGGAAUAGAAACAGGUGGAGAGAACAUCAAAAUAACCUGUGCACCUUGACUCUGCAGGAACACUAGACAUCUGGUGCUGCAAGCCUGCAACAACAUGGACCUUAAGUCGACCGAUUGUAUCAUCAAGAAUUAUUGCUAACUUACGAUGCUAUAGAUUGUGUUGUUCCUCAUAUAUUUACUCAUGCCUAAUUGAGAAAAUUGAAGAAAGAUAUCUAGACACCUUGUCAGAUUGAGUGACGCAGGGAUUACACAUAAUCUUAUCAUCUCUGAUAAAAAGAGAGUAGCAAUUCUAGACAGUUUUACGGAUAUAUGUCAGCAACUAUAGUAAACAGGUGCAACUUGAAAAACUGAACGUGGUUUCUGGUACUCGGUUACAGAUACAAAAAAGAAAGAAAAGGAGAAGAACAAACACACAUCUGAUGCUGGAAACACACACCAAACUGAGGAAAAGCACAUACCAAAACUGAGGAAAUAUCUAGAUGACAUAGAAACACCAGAUCAAAUCAAUAUAUCCAUUGGUACUUCAAUCUAUCAAUCCAUCUAUGUCAAUUCAGAACCACUAGUACAAUCUCACAAAAGCAGAGCAAAUGUGCCCAAGCAUCCAGUUGAAUCUAUGCCACGUUAGAACUGCUAGCAUCAUCAGCUACCCAUGCUGAGAGGGCGUAGAGGACCCGGCCUUUCCACCCUUGCAGAAGCCACCGAUGGUCCUCAUUGAUCAUGAAAUGCUUGUGGUACUGGUUCUUCACUUUGUCCUUGAGCAUCAGAACAAUAUCAGGGUCCAAUGGCAACUGCCUCAACCCUGCCCGGUGGUUCCGAGUCUGCCACUCCCUGUAGUUCUGAGGGCGCUCCACCCUGUCUGCCCCUUCGCAGGCGACCAUGUUCAUGACAGAACGUGCGAAAAAGUCCCGCUCCAUCUUCAGUCUCUUGUCGUUGUUCCGUGGAAUCGUGGUCUCCAACACAUCAAAAAAUGAUGCGAAGUUGUACAACGCAUGGCGGAACCGUGUCAUGAAGAACGCCGCACUGUAUGACCCAUUGGUGAUGGCAUGGACAAACACAGACGGCUUCAUCUUCCUGAUAGUGUUGAGCACCAUGUCCCUUGGGCUUACCCUGUCCAUGGUGAGGCUCUCGUCCAUCAAGGUCUUGAACUGGAACAGGCUGUUCACGACAAGCACCUCAUCAGGGUCAAUGUGGAUGUCCUCUGCCCGAACAGCCUCUGGCUGGGCUGUGAUGGCGUUGAACUUGAAUGACAUGCCGAACUUGCUUGCAUAGUUGCUGAGACGGUGCCCUGCCUCCUCGAUUUGCUCAGAUGGGCGGAACCCAGGCUGAGGCUUGCUGAUGCUGGUCAUCCUCACCUCUGGUGGCCCUCCCUCCCUGUCCGCCAGCCACUGGAUCAACUCCGGCCACUGCACUCCGAUGUUGAUGCCGUAGUGCACAAUGUGCAGUUUCUUCCUGCCUGCAACAGCUUUGUAGAUGGUCUUGUUGGAAAAGAGAAAUGCGACCUUAAAGAAGCAGAAGGUGGCGCUGUACAGAUGGUAAGCCUGAACAAGCUUCAUAGUGGAGGUGCGUGUCCCAAUGAGCGAACGGUAGAACUGACUCCCCGUGCCGGCCAGCCGUGCCUCCAGCCCCUGGGCGAAGUAAUGUGCCAGCCGCUGCCUAGAAUCCCCCGUUGGUGAGGAGUACCGCUUGAUCUUCUCCAGUACCUCGCUCGCGCUGCGAUGGUCGUUACUGGCCACUGCUUCCGCACAGCGGAUCAGCAGUGUUUCUAGGUCAGUGACCACCGUCUGUGUUGCACCGCGCCUCCCACGUAUGCGUCUGCUCUUCUGUGCCACCUUGUUCUCCUUGUCUGGAGUGAUUAGUAGCUCCUGCAUCUCACCGGGGUGCCUGUCAUAGCCAUUGAGGAUGAGACAGUCCAAGCUCUUCUUGAGCUCGUCCUCCUCCUCCGAGUCAGCAUGCACUAGCACCGCUAUUUGCUUGCUGCUCCUGCCCAUGCCUGCCUCCGUCACACCAUCCACGUCAAACUUGUUCUUACACCCCCUACUAUCCACCAUCACGAAGUCUCUGGGCAGGAACAUUUCGGUGUUCUCCAUGCCUUUGAAGAAUUCCGUGCUUGGCAUCUUGUUCAUGCUGGUGAUGCUAGCGCUCUCCAUGGGAAACUCGUCAUUCCUGGGCUCCACUGUGCCUGUACCAUUCGAGAAGAAGGCUGGAUCCUGUACCUUACUGGGCAGCAAGGCAGAGGCAAGCACAUCUGGUAGUGCCGAGGACUCGUCACCAUCGAAUGAGGUGGUGUCAGCAGCAGAGAGGAUCUGGGCGAAGGGUUGCUCAACCUGCAGGAGCUUCGGGUGAUCAGUGUACUGGUAGGUGAACUUGUCAACAAUAUCAUCCUCCAUGAGCAUGCGCGAGAUGUAUUCCAAGGACAGAUCAUCCUGUGGCUGCUUUGAGUCACCAUGGUCGAGGAAGACGGACGGAUGCACUGGCGCAGACUCGAUAACACCUAACAACUCCUCUUGGGUGGCAGCCAUGGUGGGUAGAUGCUACUUGGUGAUGGUGCAGUGGAAAUAUGUUGGAAUUGGAGUGGAGAUAUCAUUAUCAUCGAACCUCGUUGGUUUCUAGCCAUUGGAACCAGCUUUAAUACAAAUAUACAAUCCAGAUGGUUCGUUACUUGAUUUAACCGUCCCUGUGCUUAUGGACAAAAAAAAAGCAGCCAUCUUUUCUGUCCCUGUCUAAUCAAAAGCAGGAAUUCUCUGGUAGAAAAUAAUUUUAUGUGUUGAAGUUUUGUGCUGUUAUGGUACAGAGAACAAGUCAAAUUCUGAACGAUUUGUAUACUCAACUUUUUUGUCCUGAAAAUUUACAAUCGGUACCUGUAGUAGUUAGCAUCUAGAUGUAUGUAACUUGGAACGAUGUUCAGUCUUAUGUCUCUUUCCUGCCCCACGCUUGGACCAAACUAGUAGCAAAUUACACCUGCAAGUGAACAAUACAUUUGUUAGGUUAAACAAAUUGCAAAUUCAAACUCCAGCCCUCUUAGCAGAUUGAUUAUAUAUUAGUGUUUUUUCAGUCGUAUCAUUCUAAACGAGGAAACUUAAGAAAAAGGUGUUUUUUCAGUCGUGUACUCAUGUAUCAAUUUUAACUUACUCAUAUCAUUCUAAAUGAGGAAACUUAAGAAAAAAGUACGGCCAUCUUAUCACAUCAACUCUGGAAAAUAGGUGCAGCUCCACAAGCAGAUCAUGGAUUCUGUUACUCGACUACAAAAGUAAAUGGAGCGAUGAAACAUCUGAUGUUGCUGCAACUGACCUUUAUGGCUUGUUUAACUCAUCAAACACAAACCUAAUGUCUGUAAAAGUAAUUUACAAGCGACCGCAGAAGAUAUAUUAGCAAGAAGCAUAUAAUUCAUGUGUAUAUAUCUUGUAUUGAUUUACUUUUUGAAGGGAAACUUGAUUUGUGCACGGAACAAAUUAGUAAUAACUUAUCCUUAUGCAGGACAAAGAAGCUAAUAAUCUGUGGCAGUGUCGUCUAGCACCCACACCAAGAAAACUUAGAGGAUGCGCACCUUCCGCAACAACCCCUGAUCCACAUCCACAACAUAGUCCUUAUGGUACAGGCUCUUGUCCUUGUCCCUUGCCACCUCAACAUAAUCAGCUUGAGUGGCUGUUGUCUUAGGACUGCCCGUUGGUUUCUCAGUAGUACUAUGUUUUAACUCAAUAACUCUAUACAACAACUAAAAGACGAGAACAACAAUGGUGUUAGUUAGAUCUCUGCAAUUCCAAUCAGGCGAUCCAAAACCAUUAUAAUCAAUGUGCUUGUGAAUGUGAUGGCCUUUGUGUAUGUCUGUUGCGGUGCAUAUAUAUGAGUGUGCUUUUACAAUUUACAUCUUUCAGAUUUUCUCUCCCCUCAAUUGUUUUGCUCCAUUCUUCUGCCGACUAGUGUCAAGACCCAAUUGGAUUUUGCUGUUUUCUAAAUAUUUAUUUGCAUUUGGAUUUGGUCAGAAAAUUUUAUUAGAUGAAAAAAGAUUGGCAUAUUCCUGAAGACAGUCCAAAAUUCUUUCUAUGGACCCAGAUGAAAGAUGAACAUUGCCAUAUUCCUGAACAUGAAGGCAGUCGUUUUUUUUUCAGAACUACCAGUUGGUGGAAAAAUUCAAUGUACAAUAUACAAAAAUUAUAGUUAUGGAGUACAAGCAUGAUUCUGCUCUUGCACUGUAAGUCUAUAUUAAGUUAGACUCUUUCUUAGCCUCAGGGGUUUGUGCAGUGCAGUUCAUACUGUCUUCAAAUAUUUGCUUGGUCGGGUCAGCUCAUCUGAUCACCUGGCUACCAUAUCCUCGUAUAUGGUGUUCGUCUGCUGUUGUUUUCUGUUGCAACUUGGCAUGAUCUGGAUGUUUUCACACCUAUUCCAAAACCCCUAGUAUCGAUCCCUGUCAUUGCUGGAACCUUUUUUUGUUUCUCGUUAGUAGUUUUCAGCAUUGUUGGCACUAACAGGUAACAGCUGGUUUGCCAUGUCGAUCUACUAUUCUCUUCCUCUUUGUUUUUUUAUUCUCAGAUGGCGGAAUGUCUCACAGAAUAUCAUUUCAUCAUGCAACUAGGGGAAGUGACUGUUGUUUGUUUCCAGAGUUUGCAAUGUUGAUCUUUUUUAUUACAUUGCUCUCUUUUUUCAGAUAUCGGAAUGCCUCACAAAGUUUAACCUCAUCAUGCAAUUCACAAGGGAGGUACUUAGCAGCACUAGUGCUGGUGAAUGGUGAUAGUUUCAAGGGAAAGUGUCUACUGACUAUACUGUGAACUCAUACAAUGAAAAGAUGAUUGAUUGUCUGGGAUUUCUAAGGGAAAGAUGGUUGUGAUAGACGGUAAGUAAACUACGCUACAAAUUAUGAACCACUAAACCGCUUCUGUAGAAGAACAAUUCUGCUGACUUAAAGUUGGGAACAUCUGUUGGUUUAGCUCAGGGAUUGUACAGUUUAGUUUUUAGUUUUAUGAUAUCUGUGAACAACGAUCUAAAUGACGACCGCAAAAAGUAUUUGAUAUGCGAGAUUUUAUUCUUCAUAUGUACACGGACACCUUGGUGCAGGUUGCACAAUAGAUUUUCAUCAGGUAUAUAAGAGUUUUGACCAAUCAGGUUGCGCAGUAGAUUUUUUCAUUAGGUAAUAAAAGAGUUUUGACCAUACUUAAAAAAAGACCAAAUGUGCCCAAGCAUCCAUUGGUAGUUGAAUCUAUGUCACUUCAGAAGUCAGAACUGCUAGCAACAUCAGCUACCCAUGUGGCCAUGUCAAGAGGGUGUAGAGCAUUCAGGCCUUCCCAUCCCUCCACAAGCCGUUGGUGAUCCUCAUCGAUCAGGAAAUGCUUGUGGUGUUGCCUCUUCACUUUGUCCUUCAAUAUAACAAUGUCAGUCAAGUGGUCAUAGACCUGACAGACCAAGGCCAUGGUGCGGAUCCAAGUGAUAAUGCUGCUUGGGCAGGUAAGAGGAAUGAGUGGACUCCGGCAAUGUGGGUAAACAGAGGAAGCGCAUAAUGUCUGAUUGAGAAAUUUGAAGAAAGAUAUCCAGACACCUAAUCAAACUGUUUUCAUGGGCUGUACUGGACCGAAAAUCAAAGAACUUAAUCAUGUUCAAUUCAAGGCGCACGAAACUUCUUUUGUCAAAAGAAGAUCCUGAAAGCAUUCGCCACCUGUUGUUUCAAUGUUGUGCUGCUAGAAGAUUUGGCUGCUUAAAUCUGAUAUCCUGAUCCGCUCAGUUGGCACUAACUUUGAAUCAGUUGCAUUUGGAUUCAGGAUUCAGAGUCGAGACAAGGUGGCAUUUCGAUGCAGUAACUAGCAAGGACCAUUUGAGUAACUUCUCAAACCUAACAUGAUAUUAAUUUUUAUUUCAACUAGGGUUCUUUGGAUGACACUACAUAAGCUAAAUUAUAGCACUUUUAAUAAAAAAGAAUUUGUUGAUCUAAAAGAAAAUUCAGACACUAAUUUUUGCUUAAGGAAAAUACAUUCCCCAGACACUCCCUUGCAGAACUUUUCAUUGGACUCAGUCUAGCUAUGAGAUUUAUCAUCUCUGCUUCAAACUUUCAAGCACUGCCAUUGAAAAGGUUCCAAUCAUGGACAUCAAAGUUCAUAACCGCAAGUCUGAAAACCUCUGACAUUGGUAAGCAUCCUGCUUCUUCUGCAGGUACUGCUGAUCCAGCUGCAACCGCCUGGGUGCUCUCACUCAAGGGGCUGGAAUAAAAAUGACAAAAGAAUAAAUCACUCGAGGAGCAGAACCUGUAGAACUGGACAAUUAUGCAGCAGAAACAUAUUAUCAGAUCCCCUACAACAUAAAAAUCAAGGCAUCAAUAAUUGUAGGUUUGUGUCGUGAACUUGGAUAUGGAAGUCCAUACUACUUUUGCUUACUUUCACUCAGAUCUAAUACUACUAUCUUCAUAUUAUAUGUGAUGCAUCAUCAUACUGUUUUACCUGCAUUUGAACUGAAAAAUCUAGUUUUGAUAUUCUGUCUUGCUGUACUACUACAAUUGCAUUUGAAGAGGCUCGGCCUAGGCAGUAAAACUGAAGGAACUACCGGAGCACAACAUGCUGCUUUUCAUCUGGAUUUCAACUGAAUAUUCGAUUUUGUGUUCUAGAAAAAAGCCUGAAAAGUCUUUUUUUUUCACAUUUUGGUUACACCAGUAACCACACCAGUAUGAUAGGCCAACUGCAUUCAACGUCCUAGCCUAGACAAAGAACUGAAAGAAAGAUCUGAGCCUGACAGGGUAGCCAUACUGUUUAGAUACAAAGUCAAGGGAUAAUUGUUAUUAUGUAAAAUCAUUAUUGACCCUCACUCAAAACAUGUCACUAAAAAUUAAAUUUAUGCAAGGAAAUAUUGUGUUAAAUAAGUUGUACUUCUCCUAACACAUCAUUAGAUAGUAAUCAAAUCAUACAAAGAGCAGCAAAUGGCACUAAGCAGUACUGGCUGAGAUGCACAAUCUGAAUAACAUUUUGUACCAUAUAAAGUAAAAAACAUAAUAGAAACGUUUUGUCAAAAAAUUCCCAUUAACCAGAAGAAGUAUGUGAUAGUGAUAUGCUGAGCUUACUUUAUCAAAAGUGGCUCAUAUGCGGUGAUAACUACAUCUGUAGCUGCAUUCUUCAGACGUAAGUUUGCCAAGUAAACCUGCAAAGGUAAUGCAAGACUCCUCAGUUUAAAAGGCCAAAUUAACUGAUUAACCAUACUAACCAAGGAAUUGUGUAUCUGGUAAAAAAACCAAGGAAUUGUGUACUAACUCGAACAAUGUUCUGUGCUUCUCUGCCUUGUCUCCCUUUUGAAACUGCCUACAGAAAUGACGAAUACCAGGCAUGAGAUUUAAAAGUGCAUUUUAUUCACUUUUUUUUGACCGAAAAACUGUAGGAGAGAUUCCGACAGUAUAUAUAUAAUUAUAGAAAAAAGUUCAUAAUUACAACACGCGGCGAUUUUAUUCACUCAUCGCCCAUUCAGAGCUAAGCGCCCACCAUAUAAAUGGAUACCAACGAACUGAAGUAGGAGUAUCAAAUUAAUGAGGCUGAGCUGUGGAAGCCGACUGGUGCCAUGGAGCUUGGAAGCUGCCAUCUCAUGCCAGGUCAUCAGAGAAGAAGCAACAUUUUAUCCUUUUUGUUUUCCUUUUGUUUUUUCGAUCAGACCUAGUUUGUUUCUUUGUGGUUGCAGCCAUGUUGCUAGUUUGAUUGCACUAACCAAUAACCAUUGGUGGCUUUGGUUCUGCAAUGAUGUAAUCUUUGUGCAAUUUCUGUGUGUUCCCUAGAACACAACAAGAAGUGCAAUUAGGUGUGUACUCUAGAAACAAAGAAGUGUCGAAGUUAAUUUAAUCAUGAUGCACAUUCCGACAAUGUUUCAUAAAUCCUAAUAUUUACUUGAUCAUCAGUUCUCUCACAAUGAGAGUACUAUGUCUCCCACUAAGUCAUCCCAUUACCUUUUUAUUGAAGAAAUAAGCAUAUGCAAGUUAACUUGUACCAAAGGGCAAAGGGACAGGAACCAUGUAAGAAUGUUAAACCUUCCCGCAAUACGAACAACACAACCAACGACAAAUGAUGUUCAGACAACGAAAAUCCCUUGUUGUUUGUUUUCAAGGAUGGAUGGCAAUGUCCACUGAAAAGUACUCCAUCUCUGUAAUGUGCAGUACUAGUCUAAAGUAUGGUUUGGGCCGACUUAAUGAUGCUAUCAUAUCCAGGGAAGCCCAGGUGAAAAACUGAAAACUAAUUGACUGGACAUCGACUGAAGACAAGGAGGAGGGUAAUCUGGAUAUGCACAUGACAAUUAGCUCACCAGCUUGCCAAUUGCAGUUCCAGCCACUGCAGAUGCUUCUCCGUCCCGCAGACCAGCUAGCUGAACCGUCCCAGAGUGCUCGAUCACCUAGCAGACAAGCAAGAAAUCAACAUACCCCUCCCCUUAAUGCAUCUUGCUCGUUGGCGUAUCUAGUUCCAUGAGGAAGUUAACAACAAUGAAAUGCACGUGAAAUAGAAAGGGAGUACAUUUGUUGUUGCCGGGGCCAAAUGCCAAAGCACAUACUAGUAAGAAUUGGUGCUAAAACGAGAUUUAUAUGGCCAAGUGGCCAACGGCACACUGAAGCCAAGAUGCUGAUAAUAUUACCAUGUCAUCCCCCGCAUCUUGCUCGUUGGCAACGUCACGCAGGAACCAGAGCGCGCUGCCGCCGUCCUCCACCUCGCCCUUGAGGUCGAGCAGCUCGAAGAUGAGGCUCUCGUCACGGGCAGGAUCAACGAAAACUUCCUGGGUAGUAAGCAGCAGAGUCACUCACAUCGAUCACUAUCAGAACGAUUCUAACAAGACCGGAAGUGAGGAAUUGGACGAACCUGAUGGUCGGGGACCUCGCGAAUGUUGCUCACAUCCUGACCAUAAACCAAACCAAAACGGCGUAAGCACGAGCGAGUGGAGGACAGGAGGAGGAGCACGGCUGCAAGGGAUGCGUGUAGUAGGAGGAGACAGGGCGGGCGUGUACCUGGAACCGGAAGGGGAAGGAGCUGGAGAUGGCGCCGCCGAACAGGGGCCGCCUGGUGCUGCUCUCGACGGCCAUCGUCACUCGGAUUCUUGCGACUAAAGCGUAGAAGGGGCUGGGGGUUUCGGGUGGGCGAGACGAGAGGGCCGGGCGAGUUCCCGAUCCGAGCGACAGUUUUUAUAGGCGGCCGAGAGGAGGGGAAGCGAGCUCGCCGCGCGUCGAUUUCACGCACGCCACCGCGGCAACCUUUCGUGCGUCAAUGCUACGCCGAGUUUGGCCGUUCUCCUUCCUUCCUGCACGCAGUAACAUCGUGGGCCAGGACCAUGUCGUUGGGUCCAUCCAAAGUGGCUGGCACCAUACGGCAUGUGCGCAAGUGCAACGGCAUGUGCGCAAGUGCAACGUCCCCUUGUUAUUUUUAGGCCUCCGGAGUCCGGAGUCCGGAGCCUAUCUAAUAUACGUUGUCUUAGAGCAUUUCCAACCGUCCCCCCUAAAGGCCUCCCUAAACGGGUUUGGGAGGCGUCUAAAAUCUGACCCAGCCGGUCUCAUCAAUUUGUUUUUUUAUCCGGCACGGUUCAGAAAGUUAGCCGGCACCCUCAGGCCGAACCCAACCCACGGGGGGCGAGCGGGGGUGCCGGCUAUGGCGCAAAAUCACGCGGGUAAGCACUGUCAGCGGCACAACCCCAAGAACAAACCCUAUUUGCGCCAAAUCGCCGACUUCCACCCCGAAUCGACAACUUCCGCCCCAAAUCACCGACGGAACCACCCCUCUCACCGACGAUUUCCACCCCAGAACUGCCGCCGCAUAGAUCUUCCUUUGCUGGCACAGUUCCAGUUCCGCUGUUCGCCGCCGGCCAGUUCCAGCACCGCGUCGGUGCCCACCCAGCGGCCACCUCUUCGCUUCUUGCUGUCAAGGUGUUCGGUGAUUUGCCAAGGCCAUGGAUUCGGACGACGAAGAAAUGCUCGCCACGCUUUUUGACGAGGAAGUCGCCACUGCCGAUGAUGCUACCUCCGGCGGCGAACAGGAGCAUCAACUCAUCGUCUUGUCGCUUCUUGCCCUCAUCGCCGAAGAUGCAGAGCGGCCGGGAAGGAGAGGAUCGAGGAAGGGCCGCCGCAAGAGCAAGGCCAGGCAAAGGAUGGAAGGCUACUGCAUAUUGUACGCCGACUACUUCGCCGAUGAUCCAUUGCACAACGAUGUGAUCUUUCGGCGCCGAUUCGGAAUGUCUCGGAAGCUUUUUUUGAAGAUCGUCGAGUACCUCUGAGAGUACAACGAUUACUUCAAAUUGAAGAGGGACGCCGUCGGCACACUCGGUUUCACAUCAAUUCAGAAAUGCACGGUAUCCCUUCGUUUGCUUGCUUAUGGAAUUCCUACCGAUACACAUGAUGAUUACCUCCGCAUGGCCAAGUCCAUGGCCAUCAAUUGCAUGUACAGGUUCUAUAGGGCAAUUGUGGUGGUGUUUGGAGAGCAGUACUUGAGGACACCCACUGCAGAAGACACAGCUCGGAUCAUGGCACAUAAUGCAGAAAGAGGAUUCCCAGGUAUGCUUGGCAGCAUCGACUGUAUGCAUUGGUCAUGAAAGAACUGUCCAUUUGCACACCAGGCAUGUAUAAAAGCCACAAAGGAUUAUGCAGUGUGGUGCUUGAGGCGGUGGCCGAUCAGGAUCUGUGGAUUUGGCAUGCCUUCUUCGGUAUGGCAGGAUCGCAUAAUGACAUCAAUGUGCUGCAAUGCUUGAAUGUGUUUGCCAAGCUUGUUGAAGGCACUGCUCCUCCGGUGAAUUAUGAGAUGGCCAUGUGUACAACAUGGGAUACUACCUGGCAGAUGGCAUCUGUCCAAGAUGGUCGACCUUUGUGAAGACAAUCUCAAACGCACCCACAGGAGGAGCAAGAUCUUGGUUUGCGAUGCAACAGGAAGCAUGCAGGAAGGAUGUCGAGCGAGCAUCUGGCGUGUUGCAGGCUCAAUUUGCCAACGUCCGGUACCCUGCUCUCACUUGGUCGAAAGAUCAGAUGUGGGAGGUCAUGACUGCCUGUGUGAUCAUGCACAACAUGAUCAUCGAGAGCGAGCGGGAAUGUCCGGUGUUUGACACUGAACUGUAUGAAUGGAUGGAUCCUCUAGCCAAUGUCAAUCACCAGGUGCCGGCCGCCUUUGCUACUUUCCUCGCCCGGCGGCAAGAAAUUCGAUACGUCGGUACUCAUCAGCAGCUUCAAGAUGAUCUGGUCGAGCAUUUGUGGAGGCUCUGAGGAAACGUCUAGUUUUUCUUAUUUAUUUGCUUGAAUUUGAUUAAAUUUGUUUGAAAUGUGAUUCAAAACUUAUCAAAUAACGUGCUUGUUUCAAUUUGCAAUAUUUGUAAAAUUGGUUUGGGAAGGCGUUUGGGGGCGCCGGCUGGGAACCGGUUAGACCUUAAAAACAAAUUCUAGCCGGUGCCCCCCAUACGACCUAAAAAAGUGGUAGGCCGGAUGCGAAAUGGGGGGGAUGGCUGGAGUUGCUCUUAGGCCAUCCCCAACGGGGCGGCCCAUUUUGUCCGUUUGGGCAAAACGGACACCAAAAUUCGCUUUUUGGGCCGGACAUGACCCAUUUCUAACCCAGGCGGAUGGUCAUUUUUGCACUGGGCUCGUCCGCACCUGCCACCUUUUUCCUCCCCUGGCCCGCAUGUCCAUGAGUAAUAAAGCGGACCAAAUGGGUGGCCUCGCUGGGGCAGUGGCAGACCCAAAAGUGAAUUGGACAAUCCGUUUGGCCCAAACAGACACAAAAUGGGUCCGUCUUGCGCGGUCCGGUCGGGCCUAAACGUACAAAACGUGCCUCCCAGCGGGACGACCCAUUUGAUCGGAGGUCCGGAUUUUGAUUCGGUUGGACACAUAUCCGUCCCAAAUUUUGGCCGGGUUUGCGUUAACCCAGACCAUGCGCGGAGAGCCGUCGCGUCCGCCCUAGUGUCAUAGGGACCCGCCCGUUAGCCACCCAACACAAAGUCGUCUCAUCCCCAUUUCCAUCUCCACAUCCCGACUCCUGCCCCCAUCCACGCCUCCGCCUCCGCAUGUCUCGCCAGUCUCCCUCGCCGGCACAACCGAGUUCUCCCGACGGCCUUCUACUCGCCGCCGCCGCCGUGCCCGAGUUGAGCAUCGUAGCGCCCGCCAUGGCCGACAACGAUGGCGAGUUCUUCUUCAACUACUUCCUCGACACCUCGUCCGAUGAGGACUCUGACGGCGAGGCCGAAUUGCUGGUGAGUGCAGCUCUCUUCUUCCAUCGGCAGAACCAGAUCGAGCGUCCAAUUCGUAGGGGUUCGAUUAGGGGGCACAGGGCUGCGCUAGACCGUAACAAAGAGGCCGACCAUGUUCUUCUUUUCAAUGAUUACUUUCAUCGCACCGACUCUGUGUUUCUUGCCCAUCUAUUCCGUCGUCGUUUUCGCAUGAGGAGGCCGUUGUUUAGGCGUCUCAUGCAAGGGGUGGCCGGAUCUGAUGAUUACUUCAUAUGCAAGCCGGACGCUACCGGCAAGGUUGGCUUCUCCGCGUAUCAGAAAUGCACGGCCGCGAUCCGGAUGCUGUCCUAUGGAGUUCCCAGCGACAAUAUUGAUGAGUAUUUGCGCAUGAGCGAGACCACAUGCUUUGAGUCAAUGUAUAGAUUCUGCACCACUGUGGUUCAAGUGUUUGGUUCUCAAUACCUGAGGGCACUGACGACUGCGGACACAGCACACUUUUUGUCGAUCAAUGAGUCCAGGGGGUUUCCUGGGAUACUAGGAAGCAUCGAUUGUAUGCAUUGAGAGUGGCAGGGUGCAUACAAAGGCCAUACCGGAGGAUGCACCGUGAUUCUUGAGAUCGUUGCAUCUCAUGAUCUUUGGAUUUGGCAAUCUUUCUUCGGCAUGGCGGGCUCUCACAAUGGCAUCAACGUGCUUCAACGUUCCCCGGUCUUCUCUAGGCUUGCGGAAGGCCAAGCUCCGGUGGUGAACUAUGAGAUCAAUGGCCACCAGUACAACAAGGGGUAUUACCUAGCCGACGGCAUUUACCCUGAUUGGUCGACAAUUGUGAAGACUAUCCACAGGCCGCAAGGAGAGAAAAUAUGCAGAUUUGCUAAAGAACAGAGAGUGCUAGGAAGGAUGUUGAGCGGGCAUUGGAGUGCUACAAGCUCUUUGAGCGAUUGUUCUGUCAUCCUGCAAGUCAGCCUGGGCAUUCGGUUUAACCGAGCCGAUUGGUUCGGUUCUUCGGGUUUUCAGAAAUUUCGGUUCUUCAAAAAUCUUGACCGAUCGGUUCCUGAGAAAAUUAGGACCGAAAUAUUUUAGGAGCGAAACUUCGGUUCGGUUCUCGGUUAUAACCGAACAAAACCGAAUGAACCACGGGCAACACGUGAGAAACCAAAUUGUGAAGAAAAAGUUGCCAUACUGACAGCUGGUCCUCUCGUAAACGAAAGGAUAGACGGAGAGGAGAGUCAGGUCGAUGGCGAUCCAUGGAGGCGGUGGCCGGUCAGGCCGGAGCGACGCAUUAUGGCGAGCUGGCGUGAUGAUUGGAAGGCUGGCGCCCUGGCGGCCAGGGUUGUAGCUGGGAAUUCGGGAGAGACAGCGCUACAGCCUACAGGCAGAUCGAUCAGGAUAAAACCAGUCGUUUUUUCUUAUGCGCUUGGUCUAGUGGGCUGCGAGCCUGGGACGAGCUGUCCUUGUGUAGACAUGCGGUUGGGCCAGGACUUGGCCGGCUGAAGCCCAGGGCGAUGCGUGCAACGGAGUACGUGAACAGGCAGGAGGCUAUUCUGAUUCUCAAAAAAAAAAAAAGGCAGGAGGCUAUUCUCUUGACUGUUGUUACGAAUAAUUGUUCUUCGGGUUUUCUCGGCUAACCGAGGGCAGGAACCAAACUACCCGUAAAAACAUGUUUCAGACCGAAAAUUUAAACGAUUUCGGUUUUCGAUUUUUCGGUCAACGGUUUCGAUUUCUCGGUUUUUAUGCCCACCCUGACCUGCAAGAACAUGGGAUGUGGAGGUCAUGACGAGGUGAUGACUGCUUUUGUGAUCAUGCACAACAUGAUUGUCGAGAACGAGCGAGAUGAUUCCUGAUCAAGAGUGGGAUUUCCUCGGUGAUUUGGUUGAACCCCAACUUGGACCGGCAUCUUUCCAACAGUUCUUCUAUACUCAUCAUGAAAUUCGGGAUCGGACAACUCACAACCAACUCCAAAAUGGUUAAGCAUUUGCGGCAGCAUGUUGGAAAUCAGUAGUGGAUUUCCUAUUUAUUUUAAUGUUUGAACUAUAUUUGUUUAUUUGCAUUAUUUGUAUUGGAUGAUUUCUAAUAAUUCCGAACAUUUGGUUUGUAUUGUUUGGAUGAUUUGCAAUAAUUCCGAACGGUUGUUGUUUUAAUUUUUGGUGUAUUAAAUUUUUAUCAAAUGGUCACAAAUGGGUGGCGCGGUCCAAUCCAAACAGAUGAAGGCCGGACUGGGGCCUUUUUCUGUCCGUCCCGCCACCCAAACCGGACAUAAAAAGCGGUUCGUUUGGGUCGCCCCGCUGGAGUUGCCCUAAGAGCAUCUCCAGCCGGCGGCCCUAAAGGCCCCGCAAACCAAAUUUGGGGGCGCUGACGCCCAAAAGUACCCAGACGAACCCCUCAUUCUCAAAAUUUAGCCGGCUCGGCCCAAUGAAUUAGCCGGCGCCCCAGGCCAAACCCAACCCACGGGGAGGCGAGCGGGGGCGCCGGUGAAGCGUUUUAUGGCUGCGGCCUGCACUGUCAGACGCCAUUUAUCGCCCUCACCGGCUUCGCCUCAGCUUCCCAGGCGAGUUAUGGCAGUCGCCAAGUCAAACCGUCGUCUUGUCUCGUCGGCUUCCACGCGGCACGCCCCCACACAUUCCCAACCAGAAGGAGGCGGAGCAGCGCCACCGCCUCUGCUACACCGCCUCCAAGGCCAAAUUCCAACCGUGGCUCGACGAGGAGAACUGGCAACGCCAUGGGGGACGGGACGGCUGGAGAUGCUCUAAAAUUCAUGUUCACUCAAACCUCUGUAUAUUCUCAAAAAAAAAAACUCAAACCUCUGUGUUAGAGGAAAAAGUUUUUGCAUACCACCAUACAAUAUCCCUUGUCACAAAAAAAAAACCAUACAAUGUCCCAUUUAUCCCUUUUAUGUUCACUCAAAACCUCUGUUUUCUUCUCAAUGCAAUCGACAGCAUUAAGAAUACAGCCAGGAGUUCCAAACAAGUGAAUCUAGCUAAGUAGAUCCCAAAAAUACUGCAGAAGGGGACGAGCCUUUGUUUCAGCCCUUCGGAGGCUCGGUCUCCGCUCUAUGUAGACAGCCAAACAGGAGUUGUCGAAGCAGAUUGAAAACACGACAUGGAAGAGGAAUUACUCAAUCCUCCUCUUCAUCCUGUUCCUCUUCAUCAUCAUCAUCAUCGGACCCCUGGAAAAGUUGAAAGAGAAUGAUGAAUACAGAUACACAGGGACGGAGCCAGAAAAUCGGCAUGAGGGAGGCGAGAAAAAUCAAAGCUGCAAAACCGAACUGCAUAAUAGAUACUCCUAUCAAUAAUAAAUGUUUCGGAUUUUGUACUAAAUCUUAGACACUUAUUAUGGAUCGAAGGAAAUAUGUAGUCUUGAUAUCCAAUAUAUAUAGAUAGCAUAGCAAAUAGAGUCAAUUCUAAAUAAUAAAAAUAUAACUGCAAUUGAAGAACCCAAUCAAUUUUCUAAUCUGAACACAGUUUGGCAGUUUGUUUGUUCUAAUCGAUUUUCUAAUCUGAGCACAAUCGAUCGAAUGGAUCAAUAGCCAAUCGGGCUUUUGCUGGGCCGUUAGGCACAAAUAUGCAGUCCCAGAUGGGUAGGGCCUACAGAGGGGCUUAGGGGGCGGAGUUACAGGCCCAACUACUUUUUUCAUUUCAUCCAAUGGCCGAUCGUUUUUGCGCCCCCCCCCCCCCCCACCCCCCGCUUCCUCGAGAAAAAAAAGAUAUCACCAGCUCAACCUCAGUUCCCUCAAAGAAUCUAGAGAGCAUAAAAGCCUUAAAGUGUUGCUAAAAAAAAAUCCUCAAAGCAAGAGCAGUAUAGACGCAGCACUCUUUAGCAGUUUUAGCUUGGGAUUGCAGCAGCUGUAAUGAUGCUCCAUGUUGUGGUUAACCAAUGCUCAUAGAAACAGAAAAUAUGUAUCGAGAAGCCACAAAUGUCAUUAACUUUUUAAGUCAGGUAUAACAAAAAAUGAUGAUAAAAACAGAAAAUAUGUAUCGAGAAGCCACAAAUAUCAUCAGGAUAACUAAGGGAGCUAUGCAUAAUUGCAUCAGUAUGGAUAUUAAACACCAUUGCAGGACUAUAAACAUGUUGUGCAAUAUGUAUAUGGAAUUGCAGGUAAAGAUAAUAUGAUACCUCUUCGUCUUCCUCCUCAUCUAGUACAAAUUCUUCUUCAGCCUCCUGCAAUAAGAGGUUUGAGAGGAAAUGAUACAAAGAUCCAAAAUAGGAAAUAAUAAGUCCAAAUAAAUAAGCCACUUAGGCACUUAUAUAACAAUAGAAGCACUAACAUCGUUGAAAUAUUUCAAAGGAUUAGGCCACAACUCUUCUUUGAUGAUAUCUGUCACCUGCGUAAUUGAAAUUCUCAGCUAAUAUACUCAACGGGGAAGAAUUAAAAUUACUAAAUUUUGCUGUUCUGUCAACCACGCGGAUUCACAGAGACAAAACCUCGGAUCGAAUGAAAUAAGUUUAGCAGGAGCAACAGCAUAGGACAGACGAGCAAUCCACAAUACCUCAUCCACUCCGUCAACAGAACUUUUGUUCUUUGCAUCAUUGAACCAAGUGAAGAAACUGCAAAAGAAGAGACAAGAAAAAAAACAAGUCAUCUUCACAAAUUUCUAAAUUGCAACUCAAGUGGAAUAAGCACAUAUUACCAUGCUGGGAAAAACAAUAACUGCCGACAGAGCAGAAAAAAAAAAGAAAAGAACAUGAAAGAAAAGGGAAAAAGAGACCACAAUACUUUAUUGCACUCGCACUCCUGCAGUGAAGCACAUGUAUUUUGGCUACUCGGCAGUCUCAAUGCUUAUCAGCAACAAAUCACAGCAAUGUUGCCCAUCAUAUCUCAUGGCAGAGCUGGGCUGGCUACUUUUGGUUUAUAAAUUGUUAAUGUUUACCUAGUAUUGGCACUGAAACUGAGCCACAAACUCUAACAAUCUACUCCGUACAAAACAAAUGCUAAAUAUCAAGAAAAGAGUCCAUGUUUAUGCUUAUCAUGGGCAAAUUGGUACAGACCUAGCUUAUGAUAUAACACAAAAUGAUGCUAAAGCAGUCCGUAGGUAUGAAUGAAAACCAAAACAGAAUUAUUAAUGAAAUGAUAAAAUCACAAUGAAGUUACAAAAACCAAUACAGUUUCUUUGUACAUAUAUGUUGAUUGAGUUAUUCAUUAGUUUUUAAAAAACUUUGUAAUCAUGAUGCCUGUACUGCGGUGUACUGGUCUUGAAUGUCAGAGUUGAUGCAACCUAGAUCUACAAAUGAUCUAGCAAACCAAACAAGAUUACAUACGCACCAACAAGGGUCUAUGCUUUUAAUGAUAACUGUAGCAGUACAUAUAUAUGCCUCAUAAGAAACACAAACAUAUAUAUUCAUUAAGAACAUGCUGAUAUGAAAAAAAAGGAGAGCACAAUAACGUGUAUCUUUAAACAAGUUGAUGAAAACUAAACCACCUUUUAAAGUUCUUUAAAAUUUUACUGUGAAACUUAAAACCAAUUGUCGUCCAAAUAAGGAAUUUUGUGUGUAUGUGUGUGCAUUGCGAAAAACUGUUUGUGCCCAUGCCAAGGUAUUACUCACAAAAAUGAUGUAUUGAGUAGAAAGAUGCAACUGAAUGAAGAUGCACAAUAUGGUUAUGAUUUAUAUCAAGUAUGAGAACUAAGCUUUACCUGUAAAUGAAAACAAGCACAACAAACUAGUAUGAUUCAUUACUUGAUUAUAUAACUAAUAGCCAAACUAAGUUACUACUUCAAGUAGGAAAAAAAAAGAAUUGUGAAAAAACAUAGAAACUAGCAAACCUCUCAUCAAUCAAUAGUCGUUUGCUCCCAUCUUUCGUGUAAGCCUUUCCAUUGACAAUAUCCUUGAUGUAUCAUUAGAAAAUUUAUUAGAUCUGAUUUUUUCCUACCAGAAAAAUUGUAACUGAAGUGCUAAUAGUGAUCGAUGAGGCACAGUACCAUUCCUGUCUUCCAAUUGAUGGAGCUAGACUUUACAGUUAUUUUUCCAUGCUCACUGAACGUACAUGAUUUUGUAAGCUUUGUAUCUUCAAAAUAUGGAUUAGGAGAGAAUGUCUGCCGGUUCAAGUUAAUAACAUGUGAGCAAAGGGAAAGAAAUAAGGAAAUCAAAGCCUGCAGACGCAAAAGAAGCUUACAAGAGUAAUGGAGUAGCCCGAUUUCCCAUCUUUAAACUCAUCCACAUCGAUGGACUCCAAGUGCUUGAAUAUCUACAAGGGAAAAAAAUAAAGCUUGAUGAAAUCGUACAAGUAAUAUAUUCCAACUCGGCAGUUGUUCCACAGAAAUGCUUAGCAUAGCAAUGUUGUAUUUUUAUAACCAAAUCCUACUUUUGAUACACUAGCAUAAUACCUGUGGAUUGCUAAGGAUAAGAAAAAUCUAUAAGCAUGCUUAAGAGUUAAGGCGAUCUUUAUGCCGUUCAUGCCGCCACCAAUUGAUAUUUAUAGGACUGAAGAAAUACUAAAAGUUAAAAAGAAUGCGCCAAUGGUAUACUUUUCCUACAAAACAAGGUACCUUUUGAUCAUCUUCAGUUAGAAGUUCACCAAGCUUAGGAUGGCUAAGAAACUGCAUGGUGAAUCCAUAAAAUCAGAAAGGAUGAGAUUAUAUCAAUCAGCAAUUUCAGCAAACAAACAGAUGAAUAUAAAGCAUCAUAGAACAAAUUACAAACCGCGGUCAGCCAAAAGUCUGGAAUUUUCCUGAUGAGUUCAUUCCGUCGGGCAUAGACUGGUCUGAGAAUUUCAUUGUAUUUCUGAUCCACCUCCAGAACUUUAUCACUUGCUUCCUCGUUAACCUACAAUAAAUGGUUGCUAUGAGCCUGGCUAUUAGCUGACUGCCUAGUAGUAUAAUUGUGUUCCAGCACUUCGGUUGAAUUUAGCUUGCACUUACAAAUAUGUUCUUGUCAAUGUAGACAUUCAUAUACUGGUUUUGUUUCAAAAUGACAAACUAUUAAACCGAAAGACCACUUAGCUAGGAGGUAAAGUGCCUUACCCUAUGCAUCCUAGGUGUUAAGUGUUUCAUCAUUAUCUGACACACGGAAUACAUAAUUGUGAUCUUUUCGCGAAGUUCAAUAACAGAACUAUGACACAAAAUUUAACAUGAUGGAGCAAUUAUUAAGCUAAAAAAGCCUGACAUAAGAUGAUCUGUAACAUUGUGGAUUGGAAGAACCAUCAAAUAUGUGUAUAGAAGGCAAGGCGCAUAACAAGGCGUUAGCAUUUUCUCACUCUGAAGGAAAUUAGCUUGUAUUGGUCUGAGAGGGCAUUGGGGGAGGGGCAUUUAGCAGGCAUUUCUGCGAUUACUUUUCCAACAACACUUCAAUUGAUUGUUCAAUUCAUCAUGUGCUGCAAUAAUGGGUUUCCUAUAGCGCUGUCACCAUAUUUUCAGGCUACCAGACCACCAAGUUGGUUCUAAAAUAAACAAUUGCAAUUGCCAAUUGCCACACUCCCUGUUCCCUAGGAAUCUCAGAUUGCCCACAAGCAUUUAACUGCAAUCAAGAUUUUUUGUAAAUGUUUACAAUCUAGUGGGCAUAAGCUCAGGAGUGACUAGUGAGUGAUUUGAAAUUAAGAACAGACACAGGGCACAAUUCUGCAGUAGCACAAGCGAACACUCAAAUCCAACGUUCAGCCACAAGUACCCAAAUUAGACUCCUCCCGAUGGCACAUCCAAAUCGGUAAGUCACAGAGAAACCAGCUCACACAUCACGAAAUCGGGACUCGGGGAUUAUUCUGCUACUCCUAAAUUCCAAGCAGCCUCUGUGCAAAAUAUCCCGAAAACGGAAAAACGACACCGAAUCUAAUGCCGGAGCAACCAAAGCGUACCACAACAGCUGUCCGCUGGCGAGAAUCUCUUGAGAAGCGAAGCGACUCACCCUCUCGAUCUCGUCCUGGAUAUCAUGGAGCUUCUCGACGGAGAGAAAGAGGUCCUUGUCGAUGUCAUCGCCCUCCUCCUCCUCGUCGAUCCUCGGUCUCUUCCCCUUCUGCUCCGGCGUCGCCAUCUCGAUAAGCCCUUGGCGAGCUCUAGGGUUUUAGCAAGCUUUUCCGGGGAGGCUGGCUGGGCUGCCUCUGUGGUCUGUGGGUGAGGGAGAUUCGCGCCGUGGUCUUUGACUUCUACAUUGUGUCAUUGUAGUUCGGCCUUAUCUUAUGGGCCGAGUGUUUGCGGUUGGGCCUCAUUGUCGACCCAGGAGGCCACACAUGACGACUGGCCUUUUUUUUUUAGGGAAAACACAUGACGACUGGCCUUCUACUCCUCCCGAACACUAAUGUGUUCCUUUAUCUCUCUAAAAAACACUAAUGUAUUCCUUUAAAUCCUCUCAAAAAAAACUAUGUAUUCCUUUAAUUGCCCUAAAACACCUUAUGUAUUCCUUUUAUUUCGUCGGUUAAUAAACUUUUUCAGAGACUUGGUCAAAACAAAGUUUUUCAGAGCUAAUCAUUUAGUACUCCCUCCGGUCAUAAUUACUUGUCGAAAUAUUACAUGUAUCUAGACAUUUUUUACACAUAGAUACAUCCAUAUUUGGGCAAAUUUGAGACAAGUAAUAUCGAUCGGAGGGAGUAGUAAAAUUUGGAGAGUAUUCUCAAAAUCCUCCCAAACAGUUAUGUACUUCGUAUUUCCUUUAAUUUCAUUGGUUAAUAAAGUUUGGACGAGUAUUCUCAACAAAAAGAAAAGGACAAUGGAUGGAGUCAUGGAGCAACCCUAACAGCGGAGCAGCUAAUGUAUCUAUAACAAUAUAUUAAAUUGGAGUUAGUGGUGAUGGUACGGACUUUGCAGUACGUCCUCACCCCUCCCCUUCUCGCGAGUCGCAAUCCGAUCCGAUCUCCAUUGAGCUAGCCCGCACGAGGGCUUCUUCCCCUUCGCAACCCGCAACAACCAACAAGGCUCCCCCUCCUGCAUAUCCCCUCAUGGCUCAUCUCCUCACCCAAAUCAUGCUCCUCUGCAUCCGCCCAUCUUCCUCCCCAUGCCACUGCCGCACAUGCACCUCCUCCACCCG